rnacentral:lncRNA from 1 species
AAAAAAAAAAAAAAAAAAAGGGCGAAGAAGAAGAUUGACAAUAGGGUGGUGAUUUAGCCAUAAUGGUUUGAAUCAAAAUUUGAAAUUGGAAAAAGAAUGAGAACUAUUGCUUCCAUGAGUAACUUGUAGCCAUCUGAUUGUUCAACAUGAAGAAAUGUUUGAUAAUAAAGAAACAUACAAUAUGAGAUAGGAAAGAAGUUACCUUAACGGAGUUAAUGGUGAUCGACAGAAAAGGUGUUCCAUUGCUUGUCAAAGCUUCAAUAUUUCAUUCUUGAUCAAACCCAUUUUGUAGUUCUUUUUCUUCGCUUGUAAGCAUAAUGAAGUUCCUUUCUCCUGGAAUCUUUUAAAAAUGGUGAAACACUUAAAAAGAAAGCAAAAUCCUCAUGAAAGUUCUCUGAACCUCUAAAAUGGUGGAAACCUAAAUGAGCCUUCCCUGUAGAGACCCUUGAGUAGACACCCAAAAAACCCUAGAUAAGAUCAAUUCAUGGGGAAAUCUUCUCCUUUUAUAGAGAGAACAAGCGGUGAUUUUGGACUCUUCUGAAAAAGGCCUUUUUGACAUUUGAAUUUUGAAAUCAUUUUUUUCUCUUAAAAAGGAAAAGCUUAAAAAAGAAAAGCUUUAAAACGCUUUCUUUUUUGUUUUCAAAAUGAUCCAAUAGGAUUAAAACACGUUUGUAAAGUUUUUGAACUUUUAACUUUUAAGUUCCGUGAAUGGGCCAAAAAUGAUUUUUGUGAAUUUUUAAAAUUGUUGCAAAAAUACCUUAUUUAUCAAAAAAAAUUGCAAAAAUUCCCAUGUCUUGGAAUAAAGGGAAGUGGGGGUGGGGAGAACAUAAAAACAUCAAAAUAAUGUGAAGAAAACGUGAAUGAUGAGAGCUAAAGAAAUAAAAUAAGCAUAUUGUUCCUGUUGUUAUUUUUGCCUAUAAAACACAAUGCGUAUUUUGUAUUUAAAAACAAACCAGAGGCAUGGGAAAAUGAAAUAAAGCUAAAGUUUACAGUAGAAAAAGGGCAUGCAUAAUGGAUGGUUCAUAAAAUAUGUUGUAACUCUGUAGCUUUUAGAAAGAAAUGUUGUUCAACAUGGGGAUGCAAGUGUCUCUAUAUUGUAUACGAGAUGCAGAAUUUGGUGUCUACUCAUAUUUAUGGCAAACAAGCCUGCAGUUUUAUUUUUAUAUUUUAAGCAAGUUUUGAAAACUCAUAAUUCAUUGAGUGGGGAGGUUUUGUGGUGUUUGUGCUGGAUUUUUAGCUAGAGGAGGCCAACCACAUGGGAAAGGGAGAUAUUCAAGUUUGGCAAAAGAGCAUAGUGGAGUGAGUGCUGGUUAGAAGGAGUGGCAAUUGUCUUGUAUAGGAAAUUUGGAUGAUAGUGAACCUCAAAUUCUGAAAGAACUUGACAACACAAGAGAUCAAAGUUCAGUUGUUUUUUAUUUGUUAUCAUGCAUGGACCCUCUUAUAGUCGUUACUUCCUAAAAGGAACUCCCAUUAAAUGUAUAAAUUUUUGGUGUUGACACAUGUCUUGUAGACAUUAAUGAAAGGGGUUUCAUGCAUGCCAAUCUCUCCUUUGUGAGCCUCUUGUAGCAAUUGUACCAGGAGCCUUAAACCAAUCCUGAAGUACUCGAUUGUAGGAGGACUAGACUCACCAUCAAGGUUCACCUAUUCCAUGUUGGGCAGUAGCCUAUUAGCAUCAAAAUGUUCUAAGCAUGAUACCUUCAUAGAGGUGUAAGAAGUCAUCAAGUGAAUGCCCAUCUUAGAAGGCCAUUGACCUGCACUUGGUGAGACCCAUAGGGUGUCACCUCUAUUGGAAGUGAAGCAGGAGAAACCCCUCUAAAUCCUGGGAAUUUGAAAUGAUCAGACAUCUAAACCAAAGGUAGGCAUUCAUGCCCAAGUACUCCAGUACUGCAACCCAAGAGGACAUAUGUGGUGGAUGAGCUUGGAAGUAUGGAGGUGGCACACUUUAAAUUAUAUAUUAACUUUUAAUUUGCUUACAAAAAAAUAAAAGGAAGAAUAGAGGUGGCCAUCCUCUGCAUUCAUCUGGAAAUAUGAGUAUAUAUCGUGUGCACUUUUUGUGCCCUUUCCAAGGUUUUAUUCCUAUCAAAAAAUCAAAAUUGUCUGGAAGGUAGGGAUGCUCUAUACCAUGCUGAUGGAGAAUUUUCCUUUUGCCUAUAUAGCAAUUGGAUUGCAAGACCCAUGAUGCUUUAUGAUCAGGUAUGUGUUGCAAACUAUAUACAUGGCAUGCAACAUGUGGAGUCCAAGAAAUAAGACAUCAUACAUGGUCAUUUUGUAAAAUUUCCCACCACCUCAUGUAUCUUUAGUUAGUGUUUCUCUUUACAUCUUAUAUCCAAAAUUAUGUAGAUUGCUUCUACAACUCUUAUACUCUUGAAAAUUAACAAAUCAACUAAAAUUUAUCACAAAAAUGAAAAUUGUCCCUUUUCAGACACAAAUUUACAAACUGCACAUACUUUUAAGAUGUUUAUUUUCUGCCUAGUGCCACAUUUAGGCACUCUACAAGUGCUUAUUGCUUUGUCUCAAUUACACUUGCAAGUGGUACCUAGUUGUUAUUUGUGUUUGCCUAGUGCCUGAUGGUGGUGAAAGAUGGUGUGGUUAAUUGUGCCUGAUGUCUAGUGCCUUAACCACAUUGCCCAUUGUUUCAUAUCAGUUAUUGAUUGUCAUGAUUCUGAUUAUUGAUAUGUGAAUAUUUAGAUGCUGACAGAUAAAUACAUCUCAAGUUUUAGAGGGCUUGGAUUGCUCCUCUGAAUACAAAAGGGAAAACAUGAAAUAUAAUAUAUUUUGAUAAUAAAGAGGAUAACAUUUAAGCACAUGACUUAUUUUCUUAUUCUUUUCUAGUUUAUGAUUUUAAGACCCUUGUUACCAGUAAAAGAUAAUAUAGGCAGAACUUGAAAACCUGAAUAUACUCAUAUAAUUUAGCACAUCUAUACCCCAAGGCGUUCAUUCCAAAUUUCUAGCAGCCUUUGAUUGACUACACGGAUCCCUUUCUUACUUAACUACUUGCUUCUUGAAAUACAUUGUUUGCUUGUCAAGAAGCACUUACAUGUUGCUAAGGACUUCAUCACACUAAUAUAUAUGGUUAAAAGAGGCCAGUUGGUCAUCAAUAAUAUUUUUCCUUUCCGUCGUAGAAAUAAAUUUUCUUGUAGUGCUACACCUUAAUGAUGAGUAAUUAAUUUAUUGGCUUGAGGAACUUUUUAUCUGAAUAGCCUGGUAAUUACAAAUUUGGCGAGAAAAAAAAUGUUCCUUUCAAAUGUUAUGUUUAUCAUUUUUAGUCAUUUAUGUGCUGCUUACAAUAGCAACCAACUUUAACUAAAAAAGGAUUGAAAUUUAAAUGUCACAUGGUAUCUUUAACUUUUUAGUCUUUUUAUUUAUUUAUUUAUUUCUCUUUUGCUAUAUUUGGUUUUAGGAAGGUAAGAAGGAAAAAGAAAAAAAAUAUAUAAGGAAGAUGACUACCUUUUUUGUUUGGUUUAUUUUUUUCCUUCACUUUUUUUUCCUUCUUAUUUUCUUUUCCUCACAUUUUCCCUCAAAUUUUCAAAAAUAAAGUUUGUGGAGUUUCCAUAGUUUUUCAUUGUUCCUUCUUUUAUUUCUUUGCCAUAAUUUGUUUCUCUAACCUUGAUUUAUCCUCUUUUUUUCCCCACUUGACUUGCUUCUCUCAAGUUGCCGAGGAAAAAGGAAUAUUCUAAUUUGCUUUCAUAUACAAGGAACUUGGACUUAUUUAUUGAUUUUUAUAUAUUACAAUACAUGAAUCAUAUCCAUUGGUUUAUAUCUUGACGUAGGCAUUUAUUAUAUCGGUGGGCGGUUGAGAAGGAAACAAGGAAACGAUAAACAAUCAAAUGAAGAAGUCAAAGACACCCACUUGGCUUUUUCCACUUCAAAGUUUUAAUGGUGGCAAAAUUGAAGAACCGGAAAUUGGAAUUACUGUUUUCACUGGCAGUGAAGAAAAAGGUCGAAUCCGAGAAGGCAAGAGAUCUAGAUAAACCUGCAUGAAGUCACCAGGUUCUUUCAUCUUUAUGCCCUCGUGUGAGCUUUCGUAAGUACUGAACCGGCACGGCUACAGAGGAUUUAUUCCCGAUAAUUUUAAGAACAAAGAAUUCAAUGGAAUGGAACUAAAAUCCUACUCCAUCACUAUCAUAUUUUCAUGUACCAAAAGCACGCUUAAAGAUUAUUUAUUUACAUAAAUUGAUGAUCUUGAAAUAAGUACCUCUAUCCGUACAACCGUUGAAAUCCUGUGGUUACACUCAUGAGUGACGCUUCUCAAAAUAUGCUACAAUGAACAUAAUAUCCAAAUUUUGUAAAAAUUACCAAUUGUGAUAUUUUGUUUGAAUGGUAAGUUACCUAGAUCAAAUGUGAGCUAUGCAGCACUUUGUUCUCGCCAAAUGAUAUGCUUCAAACCUUAAUGCACUUAUCUUAAGGAUUCCUUUGCGCAUCUCUUUUGAGGAUUGAAAAAUAAACUUUAUAAUUGCCAGGCUAACUUUAAAAAGGUUAAAGCAAUGCUAACCCUCUGUUUCAGGAAAAUAAUAAGAAAAAAUAAUUUUCUUAUAUUUAGUUUUAUUCCAAAAAAAAUUUCAAUAUAUUUAAAUUAGUUAACCAAGAAAUAACCAAUUGUGCCAUAGACUUCAUUUGUCACCUCUCCCUGGCCGUGUAUUUUUUGGCAUUGCUGUUGGGAGCUUGGUGGCUUGUGCUUAAGUCUAAAGAAAGCAAACGUAAACGAAACUGAGAUGGCACAUGACAAUUCAUGAUUCAUCAAACCUUCCUAUAAGAGCCAAGAAAAUGCAGGGAAGUCUCUCAGGAGCGACAAUGAAAGAAAAUGGUGACAUAAAGUGAUCUCUCAUUUGGUGGGUGGCAUUUGCUUUCCCUCUAUGGUUAGGUUGGUUUAGAAGCAGAUUAAGGUGUAUUCGUUGGCUUUUGUGAAGGAGCCGGAUUUCGUACAGUAAAAAAUUUCGGAACUACUGAAAGAAGAGAUCACACUCUGUCACUAGACUAAGCGGUUAAAAAUCAGAGUCAUUUGAACACAGCAGGCUACAAAGGCCAACUGCUUCACCCCGUGGUUUCAAAAGGAUUCCGGUCCCUAACAAAUGUUGGAAAUUUGUCAUACCUUCUUCUCAGGGUCCUGUGCGGAUGCUUCCUUCAGUACUUUCUGCACACAUAGAAGUUGAAGAACAUAGCUUUCAAGCAUCAUCACUUGGCAGGACGGGUCGACAGUCUCAAGACAUUUGUUCUGUUCUCUCCUCAUCACCAGUCUUUCUUCAGACCCUUGAACUUCUGUUUCUUGAUUUACUAGUCAGUGAAACGGAUAGACCUGUUUAAUACUAUAAGCUUCAAAGCUCAGGAGAAAAUCCAACAAAAUAAUGGAAAAAUACCUCUAUUCCUAUUGAGGAAUGCAAGAGGUAAUUGUGUAUCAUCGUGACAUCUGACAACAGUGCAAGAAUUUAUUAGAAGGAAAACAUGAGUUUUAUGAUGAUGAUGAUUUUUGAGUUUAAAAAACAAGGGAAAAGAGAAGGAAAGUAGUAAAUUUUACAUAAUGAUUUUAUGAUGUCGAAGCGUACCCUUUUCCCUCUUCACUACCCUCGAGCCUCUCCGUGAUCUUCACCUCUGAUGAUGCCUCUUCUGCAUUUUUAGGAGAGUUUUUUGCUACUAUUUCUGGGGUCUCAUCUUCUGUUUCUUGGCAUCCACUGCAGUUGUCCUUCGAAUCUGAAGCGUCCAUUGGCUUCCUAGCUUCUGAGGAUAAGCCAUUGUUCCCAUUGGAAAUUUCCUUUUCCAGCCCAAAUUUUUGGCAAUCAGUUGGCUGGAUACUUGAUGCGUGUUCCUCAUAUUUGCUAACACUUUCCUGCACUGAUAUGUCAGGGAACUCUAUAUCUCCAAGAGAACCAGCGAUAUGAAAUGAAUCUGGAGGCUUGCUUUCCAUUUUCAGAGAAAAAUCUGGCUCAUCAGGUCUGGCCCCAAUGUCAUUGAAAAUAGAGGAACCAUAAGUGUGUGUAUGGUUUGAUGGUUUGUAGAAUGCAGGUUUUUCAUAGAAAGAACUGCUGGAAGGUGAAUAUUCUACAGGGAAACCCCUUAUGGAUUGCUCAUACAAUGUUUUGGCACCAAUCUGUAGUUCAGGAACUGGAAAUGCACCUGAGAGUUUGUCAGUCCAAAACUUGGGGCCAGGGGGUGCUUUUUUUGUCUCUGAGGUUCGAUACAGAGAGCUGAAAUCUGGAUUUAUAUCAACUGAAGUAUAUCCAUCCCCAAACAACCAACUCUCAUGUGGUCCUUCUUUUCCCAGAAAUGCAGAGUUUGAGUGAUGUGCUGGUUUAGAACUUGAUGGGUGUGACUUCUUUGUAAACUCUCCUGACCCAUUUGCAUUAUUAGGUCUUGAUCCUAUAUCAUCCCCAUUCUUGUACCAUGCUUCUUUGGUGUGCAUAUUCUUCGAACUGUACUUAUUUACCCGGCUGCAAAAACCUUUGUCGUGUCUUCUCAAGCUCUUCCUAACCAUUGAAUUUGAUGGUUGAUUAUAAGUUGCCUCACCCCUCACUAACAAUAAUUAUCGAGAAAGAUCAUUUCAGUUUAUUGAACAUUUCAGUUGAAAAUGGGGAAAAAAAUUCCAAAUCAUUGAACCAUCAGUAACAAUAAAUGAAAAUAACCUGCACUGGAUGUGCAUGACUCUUCACUGUCAAAAGUUUGCAAAAGGUGGUACUGAAUUAGAUGAUAAACAGAAGGGACAAAUGCCAUUCACCACAUAAGGAAGAGAGUGGCUAGCAUUUACCUAAGCAAACUCAAACUGUCCCUUGAAUCUUCUGUCGCAAAUGAAGGCCAAUCUGGUUGGUUGUUGACACCUGUAAAGCCCCAAAUCCUUCCUAGCAUAGGAGACCUACCAUCAGAAUACAAGAAAUGUCUUUCAAGUAAAUGCAUGAGUUACCCAUUUACCCACUUAGCUAACUUGACAUACCUGGUGCCAUCUGAAGUCGCAAAGUCAUGAUCAUUUUCUGAUGUUUGGUGCCUUAAAUAAGGGGCAGAUAAAUCUGGUUACCAAAGAAAAAUGACAAAAUAUCAAACAUAAACCAACAAGCAUAUGCCAAUAUUCUCUAUUUCACGAAAUCUAAAAGCCGGUACAUUUAAACCAAUAAAUUUUGUAUGAAGUGUACCAAAAUUGUGCUGAUGCCAGAAAUAGAGCAAGUUAUUCUUCUAUUUUCAGUCUUGAAGGAAAAAAGAGAUAUCACCGGAUUGUGAAUAAUUAAAUAUGUCCUUAGAUUAAGCAACUUCCUAAUUUAUCUCUAUUCUUCAGAGAGUGCUGAAUCUCACAAAGUACCAUGGUUGCUUAAUAAAUUCAUUCUCCCUCUACUUCCUCAUCUCCCUUUGCACUCCACACAAACAUACAAAUCCUAGCCACAUCAUGCCUGACAGGCUAAUUUUAUUCCUGUGAACAUGUUAACUCCGGAAACCCCAGGGAAUGAAGUUUGCUCUGGGCACUCCCUAGAAUCAGAACCUUCUCUUCAGACAAACUAAUGCAGGGCAAUAAUCAUCCCCCAGAGGAUCUCAUAACCUUCUAAUUCAACAGGUAAAUAUUCAAGGCACAACCAUCUUGCUCAAUCAAGAAAUGGCAUCUUCUUCGUUUUCUAAGGAAUGAGCCAGUAUAUAAAAAAAUAAAUACAUUAAACUCAAACUGUGGAUUAAAUAACUAAUUUGACUUGCCUCUGGGAACUUUUGACAACUGGACCCUAGAAAAUGUGGAGGGAAAUCCCAAUUUCUAAACCAAAUGGAAUAGAAGGGAUAAGGAGUAUUGCUCUGUUCAGACCAAGAAGUCACACAAGUAGGGAUACUGGAUACAUACAUUAGCAACCCUAACUUUACAUGAUGUUCCAAAUGAUUAAGUACAAAAAAGGCUUGAAACUUGUAAGGGUAUAAAGCAUCUAAGUAUAUAUCUUAAUUUUUUUAUCAAAGGGAAAUGACACAUAAAUGUAGAAUAAGACAGCUAUGGUACCAGUACCACACACAUGAUCCUUCUUGAACUCCAAUAGAAAAAUUCACAAUGUGAUUCUGUUGACGUUAAAAGCUAAGGAAGAAAGAAUCCUUUUCCUAAGCAAUAUUCUUCAGGAGAAUCAGACAAGAUCAGUAGGAAGAAGAGAAAACACAAGAAUCAACAUAUCCCCUGUCCUUUGAAAUACAUACCAGAUAAUAUUACUCAAUGAAUUUGGUCAUGAAUGUCAGAACAUCUCUGAAUUAAUCAUGGCAGAAUGAACACAAAAUCUAAUAAUUUGCUUUACUUGUUACUUGCACGUCAACCAGAACAAACAAAUGCACUGAUUGAAGAGAACAAAGAAUGGCAUGAAGAACAUUCAGUUUCAUAAUGUUUAGAGACCAAAAAAACAAAAAUGUAAGUUGAGGCUAAUAUUUCUUAGUUUUGAUGACAAAAAUGCACCUGAGAUAUUGAAUCUGUCUCUUGCUUUCAUGGCAUUCCUGCACAGAUAAAAACUUGAUCAAGAAGAUAAACAUUGUGAUCUAAAACAGUGGGAGAAGGUCAGUUUCUAUAAGUACACCUUUUCUUCGAUAUGCAGUGGCCUUCAGAUGUAAAAUCUAAUAGUUCAUGGUUCCCAGUUUUCACAAAAUCAGCAGAAGUGCCAUCCAUUUGACCUGGCCAGUGUUUCCAAGAUAGAUCACAUUCCCAAUCAUCAGGAGAGUUGUAAUCUGGGAAGCCAACACUACCUGGUAAACAAAAUGAAAAAGAUUCUGAUCAACCCAAGCCAACUUUCAAUAAAAACAAAAAAGGAAAGCAAUAAUUGCUAUUAUAUUGAUGAUAGAGAGGUUCAUAAUAGAUCACAUAGCUAGAGUACAUCAAUAAAGGCAGAAUUAAAUGACAGUUCAUUUAAGAUUUGACUGUCAACAAAAACAUAUUCAUGUAGAUGGUUAUUAUAGAUGCUUGUCAAAGAUAUGAAAUCUAUUCUCAGAAUAUUAAUUAAAACUGAGAUAGGGAAAUUUUCUUGAAUAUUUUAGAAGCCACAAGAAGUUGCAAUGUCUGAAACCAAACAAAAUAUAAAAAGGGAAAGAAGUUAAAGAAGUAAAUAAGGAAUUACCAUUCCAUAUAUUUUCAUUUUUAUCUUUAAUGUUGUAGAAGGUUUCUUCAUCACCAAAAGAACGCCUUAUCUUACUACUAUGGCCGCCAUGAUGCAUGAAGUCCCUGAAAGUGGAUACUCCCUGCUUUGGGUUGCUAAAGGGAUCCUCUAUGCCCAUGGGGUAGAAAGGUAGCUCCAAAGAAUUGCCACUAGGUGACAUAUUGAUAUCUUGCAUCUUGGAACCCUGCAUUUAGCACAUCAUACUUAUAUCUCUCAGAUCUCCAACAAAAGUAACUAAGAAAGUGAAUGGUAGGACAUUAUGAACCAUAGAAAAUAUUCAGUUCAGUCUAUAGAAGCAACAAACAACUAUAUGAAAUCAUGAUUGACAUCAUCCAGAAAAAAGGUUGAUUCAGGUAGGUGGUACAAGAAAAUAAAAUGAGACACCAAGAACAAUUCAUCAAUCUUGGAAUGAAUUUAUUGUUCAAUAUAAAGGCCCCUCAGGAGAACCAGUAGAUGAUUCCUGAAUAUACUAAAUAAUUGCUAAAAAAUAGAGAUCCAACUUGAUCAGAAGCAGAACACAAGUUAGCACAUUUUAAUAUUUUAAUAAUAAAAUAUAACUUCACUCUUUGAAGGCUGCCAAUUUCUAUUCACAACUAGUUGGGAGCAGCACAAAACUUAUUACACUAUCCUGGACUAACAAAGAUAACAUUCUUUAUUAGACCAUCGAUUUAGCAAAAUAUUCUUAUGAAUUCCAUCUAAUAUGUUCGAUUUUUUUCCCUUCACUCGUUUUUUUUUAAUUAAAAAAAACAACCUUCAAUUUGCAGUACUCCUACUUGCAGGUGCGCCUACCAAUUGAGCUGCCCUUGGGGUGGAGCCCUUCUAGCAUGUACCUUGUCAAAUGCAUCUUAUAACACCAUCAAUAUAUCAUUUUUCUUCAGUCCUCAACUUAUUAUUUCUUAUCAAAUAAUGUUAUCGAAUGCCACCACCCUCCCCUAGGGAUCCAAGUUACAAUCAGUGACCUCUUUAUUCGCAGUACCCUCUUGACUUGGUAUUAGAUCCACAAAACUAAUGCACCUAAUUUUUAUUUCAUCCAUUAACCAAAUCAAACUAAAUCCUUUUUAGCUGCAUGUAAAGCUCUAUCCAGUGCCCUAUAUUUUGCAAACCUUUGCCCAUCAUGCCUCUUCUUACAUAACAGCCUGAACCCAUGUUCCAAAUAAUAAGCAAAGCCUAAUUUCGUGUAGCAGCUUCUUUAUCUCCACUUUUCUGAGCCAGGCAAAAGAAGUCUUGACAACCUUCCUAUGGUAAGGGCUUUUCAACUCCUCACUUACCCUAGCAAAAUGCACCCUCUUCCUAUUGCAAGUUUCAACUAAGUCUCACUGCAUUGUUCACAUCAAAGCUGGAAUAAACUAAAAUCUAUUUGUGAAAUAAAAAAUUGCAAAACGUUCUUAAUCAAUAAAGCAUAGUGGACAGUUAAUCCCUGGCUUUAGAAUGGGUUCCUCUAACACAUCGAUCUCAUGUUAUUUAUCAUAUAUAAAUAGUUUCAGAAGUGGACAGUUAUCAGAUGGAACUGUAUCCACAAAGACAUGCCUGUAAACUACCAAACAGGAAGAACGCAUAGCUUCAAUGACAGAAUGAAGAAAUAUCAAUAAUCUUCUUAUUAUUAAUGAUUCAGAAGCAAAAUAGACAGAGUAAAGAAGAAAAUUGAAAUUUUCAUACAAGGCUAACCAUCUUAAGUGAAUGCUUCAAGGAGGAAAAAAAAAGGGCACCAUUACAAAAGAGUACUGUUGGAACCUAUAAAGAAACUUAAUAGCUAUAACACAUGUGCUAAGUAGAAAUGGUUCGAUGCAGCAGCAACUAUUGUCAAUAACAAUAUGGUAACCAAUAAUGCUCUCACCACUUCAACUUCAAGGUCGUCCAGCACAAAAUUAAGAUUCUUGGAAGAGCGAAGUUGCCUUGCAUCCUUCAGUAAUGAGCAAUCAUAUGAAGAGACUCUAUAAUCACACAAAAACUAAUGUGCUGUUCAGAUAAAGUCUCUUUCUUUGUCUAUAGCAAGAUACAGGAACACCUAAGGAACUUAAAUUAAAUCAAAUGUAAGAUUUGGCAUUCAGUUGGUAAAGAAUGCAUUAAAGAACCAGCUUCCACAAGAGCUGGAGGACAACACUUGGUUGUAAUGACAUGAUGAAAAUAAAAGUGACCAAAUCAAAGCAUCAAAUAUAUUUCUUAAUUAUCAAACUUAAUAAUUAGACAAGAUGUUUUGCACAGCACUUGACUUAUUGUUGUGAAUGUACAAGUGGCCAAAGUAUGCCUAGAGUAGAUGCAGAGCAGUGAAAGAACAAAUCAGUUACUGAAACUAUGGUGUUUUAACUUUCAAUCAUUUCUCUAGUAUAUAUCACAGAUACUAACAAAGUAACAUACAUUGGCACUUCCAAUAAAAUUUAGUUUGCCACUUAGCACUACUAAAUUGAAAAUUUGGUGGAAGUAUUCAGAUCUAUACUGUUGCUUUUAAUAAAACUACAUAAAUUAUUUUGGUGCAAACUAAAAAAUUGAAACUGAAUUUCUGAGACACACCUUGAAACAUUUUUCACCAAAUAAAUGAGCCAUAAGAACAAUCCUAAGCCCAAUUGUAAUGCAGGAUAUGAACUAUUAGCUCAUAACCAACAAGAACAUCCUCUCUCCAUGUCUAAUAAAAACAUUUUUAUCAACUCAAGCAGUUGCACACAAAAAUUAUUUUGUAUAGCUUCAUUUCCAUGAAAGCUUGGUCCAAUCAUUCAAAAAUAGUUGCAAUGAAAACAUACCACUUGCUUAGUCCAUUUAUUCAAUUAUAGUUGCAAUGAAAACAUAGAAAUCUCCUACUGGUUUCUGUUAUAGUGAUUUGAUGUGGAAUAGUCCUCAAAACAAAGGAUUGAGCAAGCGGAAUAUUACAAAGGAUUUUCACAAUCAGACAAUGACAGCAAUAAAUAGGAAUAAGGCCUGGUAACAGAAAAUUAUGUAUGCCAAAACAGAAUUUCAUUACCACAGUAUAUUAUCCAUAAACAAUCCCAAUUAAUUUCAGUGUCUUACUUACUGUAAUAUUCUGAAAAUUUGAAUCUAAAUGUGUUACAAUUACCUGUGAGGUUGGUGCGGUGAAUGAACAGGUGUUUCUGUUCCCACUUUACCUAAACCUGAUGAGCAAGAGCAGGGCUUAAACAAAACUAGUGCAGGAAGAAUAAAAUGAAAGCCUUAUACAGCCAUUAAGGGAUAUUAUUUCUUGAUAAAGAAAGAAAAAAGAAAUUAUUAUGCUUGCAUUUGAAAGUACAUUAUGUAAAGCAAACAUCCUGAAGACAGACUUCUCUGACUGUAGAGAUGCUUGGUAAGACAAAUCAUAUGAAGACUGCACAUUUCUCAUUCCCAUAGGAAAUGUUAAAAUGAACGAACAUGGAAUAGCUGCAUUUCUUGAGGAAUUAGUUCAAUUUUAACAGACUAAUCUAAUUUCAUUGAAAUUUUCAGAGUUCAUCACUAAUUUGUUACCAACUUACCAUUAGAGAGUUUCUCUAGUUUCUGGCAUAAAAGUUUUCCUGUUUUACAAGGCUAGCUUUCUUUUUACCUUAGAUAUAUCUUAACCAUGGAUUAGAAUUAAAAAUAACAAAGUUCAAGUGAUGCAGUGGCAAGAAAUAAUUUGUUUUGCAUAAUAAAUCAUCUAUCUUCAAAUUAAGCUUGCCAAGAAAAUGAUGAAUGGAAGCAUAAGACCUGCUCUGAAUUCUAAAUCUAGUAAGGCCUUACCUUCAACAGAAAAUGCAACAUGAGCUUCACAUACUGGACUUCCCUCUAAAUUGCCAUAUGGUCCAUCAUCACCAAGUAAAUCAAAAACAGAAAGCUCUGGAGAAAACAGAGAAGGGAAAGGAAAAAAGGUUAAGAGAAUGAAUCUUCAGACAUAUCUAUAAUGACCAAACCUAGCAGCAAGAAAGGUGAAUGUCCACAUAGAAAGGCUGCAUUAACCAAGUACUCCAGAAACAAACAACUUAAACAUUAGAAACCACAAGCCAUAGUGAACAUGUAAGGGAGUAAGUAUAAAACUUGUGUUUGAUGGAUAUUGUUACUUACGAUGCUCUGUGGCUGUCUUCCAAUUAUCUGGUUUGUCACCUUUUCCAUUAAAAGCGUUGUUAUGCCUAUCAGCAUCACUGAGUAAUACCCAACAAGACAAUAAAAAAUAAUCAACUCUCCACAAGGACAAGAUGCACUGUUGCAGAACAACCUCACAGAUGCGUGUAAACAGACAGAUACAUGCAACAACUAAGAGCAGAAAUCAAAACAGAUGCAGCAACCAGCAGACAAGCAAACACAUGGACAUAAUGAACCCCUUGCUCAAUAGUACUGCAAGAAUACUACUAAUCCAUGUUUGUAUCAGUUCAUAUAAUACUGUUAGAACCAAUGCAGACAGACACCUCUUUGGGGGUACAAUCUCCACUUGGUAGCCUGAUGAAGCUCCUGUUUCAGCAUAUAACCAUCAUAAUAUUAAAUCUUAUAUCAAAAUUAACAAAUUUCAGAGAAAAAUGACUUUCUGUGAGUAAACUCGGUCUAAGUUUAUAAGGAUGUACAGCUAAUUAAAAAAACAUACUUUCAUUAAAUUCAACAUAGUCUGCAGGAGUUUCUCCAUUGGUAAGGAUUGUUGGUGGACCCUUCUUAACCUGAUAGUUCACUGUGGAAGUGUUGACCUCUGAAUUUUCCCCUACUAUAUGGUUAUGGAAGUAGGAAAGCAGAAGAAAGAAAAGAUAAAGAGAAGUUAUAAAAUAUUAGAAUUUGAACAACACCACUAAUAACAUGCACAAAAUGUAUCAUGCCAUCCAAACAGAAUAUUUAAAGCAAGAACCAAUCUUACGAACAUAUCAUUCAUGGAGAAACAUUCCUAAAAAAGUCAAUUCAGAUUACUAACACAUGGUUGCCCUUCUGAAUUUGAAUGAUCAUACCCCACCAAUUCUCCAAGUUUUGACUCAUUGGAUAAAUUAAAAGCCAUAAACUAACUGCAGAGUUAGGAAUAGAAGUGCCAUAGUUGUGGUGCUAAGAAAUACUUUUGAAUGAAUGAGGAUGGAGGUUUGUACAAGGGAAAAACUGAUUGAGUUGUAUAAAAUAGUAAAUUUUGUAGCCAUAAAAUCAAAGCUGUUCUCUGGAUUUGUUGGCUUUUUUUUUCAUAAGAGAUUAGUUUGCUUAUAUAAUUGAGCAUCAUGCUUCUGAGUGUUUGAGCCGUGUUUGUGAAAAUAUACAACCUUAUAAAUCUGAUCCAUUUUUACUAAUAAAACCACAUGAUUCAGCACCAUAACUUGAUUUCAACCACUUUAAACAAUAUAAGGGAGAUAAACAGAAAUAUGCUGGCAGUAGCUUCUUGGCAAGUUUAAAAUUAAUAGACUGAUAAACUUACCAUUGGAGCGAGUUUUGCAUUCUUGCGCAAUUGAUGACAAAUUCAGCAAGCUGAGAACAUCUAGUGAUCGUUGUUCUUUGUUGUCUUGCCCUAAUAAGCUUACCCCAUCAGUAUAGCUUUCUAGUCCAGCUAUAUGGUGCUGCUGUUGUCGCUUUCUUUGCUCAAAAUAUUGCUUUUGCCUUUGGAAAUCAAAAGUUAGGGCAAAGACUGGUCUAUUUACUGCAUCUGAUGCCAUUUCAAAUUUUAAAAUAAGCAUGCAACAACAAUUAGCAUCAACAUAAUAACUGUGAGCUUUAUAUUCCAUGAUAAUACUGUAAUCCAUUGAAUACUGUAAUCCUUCAGAGCAAAUUUCCAUGCUAGACCAAAUGAGAUUUAUGAAUUUUGAGGCAAACAUAAAGAAAAUUAACAUAUCUCCUAUACCUCUUUUGUGUUGACUUUCUUGUCUGAAUCAUUCCCCAUUUUCAUCACAAGAAACAAUAUCAUGCACAAAACAAAAAAAUAAAUAAAUGAAUAAAACAAAAAAAUAAUAAUCAUACACGUCACAGUAUACUUGAAUGACAAAUAUCUCAAAUUACUGAUGAAAAAGUGAAGCAUCAAGAGUUUCUCUACCAACACGCAUAUGAGGUGCAAACUCGUAUAUCUUGAGCAAAAUGGGAAAAGAAGGAUUUUACAUUAGUGUAACUGGUUAUGCUGUUGUUUCAGAGAUGUGUUGUAAAGAAUAUGUUACAGUAAGAAAAUCACCGAAUAUCCAGUUUAGUAUUUCUUUGGGAAAGCAAACCACCAUUAGUUAAGGUUGAUUGCAGUGGCCUACUGCAGAAAGUCAUUACUUCUAGCCAACAUCUGCUAAUCUAUAAAAUGACUUAGUUGGACUUUGCUCUUCAUGAACUUAAUCAUGUACUGAAAUACUUAUAAUCACAUAGAACAAACAUUUUUAAAACUAGAGAAUUAAACGACUCUUUACCAACCUAAGAUCAAUGAAUUCUUGAUCAGUUGACAAUUACAGCUUACAAAACUCAGUAGAAGUUAAAUUCCAACUGCACUUACAGCUGUCACUUUCCGCCUUGAUCCUCCCAUCCAUUGCAGCAUUGCAAGAUACACAACCUUUCUCCUCACAUGCAGUGAAAAUAGAACAAAAACUACCACCCACCUAACAUGAUUUGCUGAACUUAUGAAAAUUUAAAACAAAUAUCCAGAUGGAGGUGAAUAGUUACCAUAAAUCCAAUUGCUCAAGAGUCAAGAUUAUCUGCAAAAUUCAUUACGAUGGAUAUGAAAAUUCAUUAGAAGUGUUUUUAGUUAUUCUCACUGCUAAAUUGCAUAAGUUGGGAAUGCAAUAGUACUCUAAUGCAAAGAAUUCCACUAAUAUUAUGCAGAAUUUAGGAAAUCUGGGAAUCAACUUCAUAAGAAAACUUUAUUGAGGGAAGGGGAAGUAUGAUUUAAAUUAAAUACUCGUAUUAGCAGUACAAAAUUCUAAUCCUAUAAAUUCUGAAAAAUAAAGACGGAGAAAUUCAAAAUCUGCAACCUAACAAGAAACAAAAUGGAGGGCAAAGGCAUAGUUGUCAAAACAUCUUGAUCAUGAGCAUGGCAGUAGAGCAGAAGGAAAGGCAAUUGCAAGUCUACGAGUGAUGAAUAACAGCACUGGCACGCCAAAUUUUUAAGUUGAGUGUAUAUUUUCAAACAAUUUGUAAAUGGUCCUUCCAAAGAAAAAGAAGGAAGAAAAUGAUAAUGACAAAAUUAAACAUGAGAAACUCAAACCUAGACAUAAUGAUAUCCUACUCUAUGAGCAUAAUCCAACCUAAAGCAAGAGAUUUUGGUACCAAUCCACAAAAGGACCACAACGUGGAUUGAAUACACCACAAGACUAUAUGAGAUAGAGAAAAGGAUUUUGGGUUGAGGAGUUGAGGCAUUCAAGAUGUCGCAGCUUUAGAAGAAGCUUUCUGAGUCGGUAAGGACAUGAAAUGAAUCAAAGUGUUCUGACCAUCAAACUCAAAACCAAGAAUAGACUAAGACUACAACGAAUUAUCCUCUUUUUUUUCCAUACAGAAUACUCCGAAAAGAAUUCCACUGGUCAGGCACUGAAGCCGAAAAACGACGACAAUGAUGAUAAUGAUCAGAGGAAGAGAUCACCUGAAGAUUGCAGCGGUGAUCACCGACCUCCAAAUUUGUGUGUUUGGAUGGAGGGAAAAUUCUGCCACUGGGAGGACUGAUGAGUUUUUGAUGAGAAAUGAAAGGGUAAUUUCGUCCAAUUGAAAUGCUAUAGUUGGGCCCAGGGGUGAGCUGCUUGGGUAAUGGGCUUCACCAAUUGGGUGGUCUCAGAUCCAUAAAUUAAAUUUUGCCAAUUAUAAAAGAUGUGGGUCUUAACCCAAUGGCUCAGCUUGAACACUUUUCAGUAGAAGUAGAAGCUAGUCGGUGGUUUGAUUCCUCUUGUGAAAAGUGAAAUUUUAAUUUUUUUUUUUUAAACAUUUUUUAGGGGUUUGUACCUUGGUUGGCUUUGCCCCGGAUGGUAGUGAUUCGAUAUCAUAUUAAACACGUGAUUUAGAUUACUAUUACAUUGAAUCAAGGUAUAAAGUACAGUAGUAGAAUCACUUACAAGGUACAAGGCAUUGUGAUCUUGCUACACGCAUGACGUUUUGCAAUCAGUUACCCCAAAGCAGCCCGUCCGUACCAUAAACAAAACCUAUUGCUUUUUAUCUUAAUUUUUAUAAAAUUAAGGGAUGAUAUUGUACGAAGGGUUGAGCAGAGAGCUUUGGGCUAGUCAAGUUGAAGAGGCUAGGCUAGACCCAGCCCAACCGAGCCCAGUGUCAAGGGUAGUUUAAGCCCAAGAAACAAGCAUGGACCCUACUCUGCCGAGGCCAGGCCCAAACUUAGUUCAGGCAACUGUAGCCCAAUCCUUUAGUCCAAUACGAGUUAGGUAAUGAAUGGUCGCGGAACCAAUCAUAGCACAAUAUACAACUAGUUUUUCAUCGGUAAGCAAGAAGAAAAAUCCACAUCGAAUGCAAUCUAAUUGACUUUUAACUUAAUCCCGAAAAUUAAUAUAUCAACUCUGCAUGGGCCCGAUAUUCUCCUUACAUUGGACCGGUCCAGUCCAGUUUUGGGUCAACACGAAAUGGCCCAAUAAAGCAAGUAGAGGUGCAGUUCCGUUAUUUAGAGAGAUAAGAGCGGUUUUAUCGUGAUUUCUGGUGCAAAACCCUAGCAGGUCUCUCGUAUCGCCUAUAAAUAAUCGUUUGGGGCUAUGAGCAAAUCUCAGAUACUGGGGUAUUCUUGUUCAAUAGAUGUUUUGAUUUUGUGCUUCGAUUCUUUUUCUCAACCGAUUCUUUUGUUUGUUUGUUGUCAAAUCUUGUGAGGAUGGUGAUCUGUGUACAAUAAGCCGAUGCUCUGGAUGUAGAAAUAAUGAAGGAAGCAUGGUAAUGUGCACAGAGAUUGAAUUCUAAGGUCAUCAUGUCUGCUCUCUCUGAUGCCUUUCGGGGCUUUGAUUUGGGGGCCUGGAUCAGACCUACAUUUUUUUUUUUCUUUUCCUCAUCUUCGAAACACAUAAUUUUUUAGAUUCAAAUGAUACUGUUAUUUUUAUUUCGGAUGAGAUUUAUUUUUUUGUUUUUUUUGUUUUUGAAAAUGGGAAGACAAUGUAAUAUUUUGUUUUUGUUUUCAGAUUACUAAGUCUAAUCUGAAUUUGAAAAAAUCAACCCUAACACCAACCCAAUCCCACCUCUAACUAAAAAUCAACCCUACUCUAACCUAAUCCCAUCCCACCUCAAGAGUACCCGAUCUCAAUCCAACCUAACCUAACUUUACACUUAGGUUGAGUUGAUCGGAGGAGUGUACGAAUCAAAAUCUAUGCAUUUUUCUAUACGAUAUAAUUGUAAUUUGAUAUUAUAGUUAAAAUAAAAUAAAUAUUAUUAUCCAUGAUAAUACAAAUUAUAAAUAUGAUAAAGAUGUUAAAUCUGAUAGGUAGGGUCAGGUUAUUCACCUUUGUUUUUUAACUUAGAAUAUUAAUAUUUAAUAGUGUUAGAUAUUAGGUUGUUUUUUUUUUUUACUAUUUUAUUUUUAUUAAUUAUUAAAAAUAAAAAAAAUUAAUAUGUUAUUUUUUUAUUUUAAAAAAAAUCACAUAUUCUGAAAUUUUCUAUUUAAUAAAUAAUUUAUAAUAAGUAAUGAAAAACUGAAAAAAAAAUAAUUUAAAUUUUAAAAAUAAAUUAUUUUGAGCAAAAGUCAAAAAAACAAAUGUCACUUAAAUCUCAAAUUAAGUUUAAAUUAAAAAAAAACUUCAUUUUAAGUCAAAUUAAAUAUUAAAAAUGGUCAAUAAUUGAAUUAGACAAACCCAUCAAAUUACAACCUUAAAUAGAAUAUGGGAGUAUUUGGGUAUUGGUAUGACCCAGAUGUGUUUGAAUUUAUUUUAAUAUACAAGGCAUUUGGAAUAUGAUGCAUCAAUAUUAAUUUAACCUCUUUUUCUCAAUGAAAUAUUGGGGCUUUUUUGUGAGCAUGAAAUGCAGUGAAUGUGUACAAAAUUAUGUGUCAAGGUCAAUUUUAUUAUUUUUGUUGAAUAUAUGUUCCAAAACAUAAAAAUCAUGAUAAUUGAAAGGGAGGAAAUUCUUUUGAAAAUGUAGGGAGAAAGUAGUAUAUGUUUCCUCAAUUCUCUCUUUCAUUGAUUCCUUCUCCAUUUCUACCCCAUUUUCACAUAAGCUAUUAGUAUGCAUUUUCAAGGAGAGUUGUGGAAUGUCUUCUUGAACAUUUUUGCCAAUUUGUUACAAAAAGGGAGAAAAAUCAUAUUAAUUAUUGAAGGAAGGAGGUGGUUGCUAGUUUAUUUUGAUUUAUUUUGGUGCUUCUAUUUUGAUGAAUGCAUAGUCUUGAUGAAGAUUCAUGGCUUCAUCAAAAGUGAAAAUAUCUCGGGAAGGCCUUUAGGUGGGACGAUAUCUCAUUAAUCAAGUCAUAUCAUACAUUCCUUCAUAUAAUAUACUUUUGUGUAUGCAAUAUAUUACUAUUAUGGUCAUCUUAAUUGUCUCACAUGUUAUAUGGGUUGUUCAACAAUAACCAAAUUUGAUACAUGUUAUGUCUACAUGAUUUGAUCAUGUGCCCACGUGACUUGUUAUCUAAUUAAUAGUAAAGAAAAGCCUUUGGAAGGCCCUUAGGUGUAACCAUAGCUCAUUAAUCAAGCCACACCAUAUAUUUCUUCUUCUAAUGUGCUUUUAUGCAUGCAAUAUCUUACUAAUCCAACCAUCUUGGCUAUCAAAGUCUACCACAUUAUUUUCGCUCUCUAAUAGUGAUAAACUUGAUGCAUGCCUCCUCUACAUAAUUCCAUCUUGUGCUCACUUGACUUUAUCCAAUUGAAAGUCAAACAAGCCUUUGGAUGGUCCUUAGGUGUGAUAAUAUCUUUUUAAAAGUCAUACCAUAUAAUUUUCCUUCUAAUAUGCUUACUUUUGUUUAUGCAAUAUAUGGUUAAUCAUGUCAUGUUGGUUAUCUACUCCGUCAUCUUUGUUGUCUUAGUCUAGCACUAACCUAACCUUGAUACAUACGACAUUGCGUGCUCAUAUAACUUGUUGCAUAAUCAAAAGUCAAACAAAUCUUAGAAAAGUUAUUAAAUGUGAUAUAUAUCCAAUUUCUAAUGCACUUGCGUAUGUAACAAUAUUUUGUCAAUUAAGAGCAUGUUUGGGAAUGAUUUUGAUUAAAACACUUUUAUCUUGAAGCAUUUUUGUUGGUAGUGCUUCAAUUGAAAACUUUUUUUUUAAAGAAAAUCACUUGUGUUGGAUAUAAGCAAAAAUAAAAAUAAAAUGUUUUAAUAGCAUUUUUUUAUAUAAAAUAUAGUAUAAUAAAAGGUGAUUUUUUAAAGAAUCAUUGGAGUGAUGGUGUAAAAAUCACUUUAAAUGAUUUUCUAGAUUUUUAAAAGUGAUUUAAAAAAAAUUGACUAUCACCUAAUUUCUACAAGAAAACACUUUUAUUCCUUUUCAAAAUUAUUCCCAAAAGAGUUAUAAGUCAUUUUGGUUUGAUACAUCAUAUUAGUUUUUAUGGCAUGAUAUACCCGUACAACUUGUCAUCAAACAAUAAUUAAACAAGCCUUGGGAAGGUCCUUAGUGUGAAAAUCAAACUUGAUGUAUGUGAUGCCCAUGUAACUUGUUACCCGAUCAAGAACCAAAUAAGCCCUAAAUGUUAAAUACACGAAGGUGAUAAAAUUCAUCCAUUAAUAAUUGAAUUUUUAUUCAUCAGCUUGGUGGAUAUAGAGAGGAAUCAAUGGAAGAGGAUGAUUUGCCCUUCUCUCAAUUAGGAGGAGCUAUUUGUAGGUUCCUUGAUCAUGAAACUUUCAAGAAAUUACUUUUUUUCUUUCUUUCUUUUGUAGUCUUUGGUGCAAAGUAAAAAUUGAAUUGCAUAGAGCAAAAAUUUAAUGAUAUAUGACUAAUUAUUUUCUUACUUGUAAGAGCCUUUUUUUAUUCUAUGCAAAUCUUCUCAGGUAUAGGAAACCUCGAGGUAUUUACAGGUGGUCGAAUUUAGAGGCACUUAAUUUUUAUUGAGGUGAAUCAAACUUUUGGCCUGUUCACGGGGAUACUUUAUUUUGAAAAUUACUAGGAAAAGCUUAAAAGCUUUAUAGUUUAUCCAGGCUUCUAAAUACUAGUAUGAAAGCCUACCGGAUUUCAUUUUGGCACGGACCAAAGAUUCUAACUCCAAUCGGUUGCCGCCUGUGUGCACUUGGCUGUGCUGCAGUGCGCACCACGUCGCUCCCCUCCCUGCCUAAGACUAUGCGAUGCCGCGUAGAUGACCGGCGCCACAGUCAUCUUGCGUGCUGACCGAGUGACCGUUGGUGCAUUUGCUGCCCAUCUAGCCCACGCUACACCAACCCCUGUUCUGUGGGCUAUCAAUGCUUUCAAAUGAGUGUGCCAACAUCGGAAACGAAUGCCAUCGUACCAUGGUCACACGUCUAAGGUUGCAAACCUUGAAAGAGCUAUUCCCUCCAAGUGUUUGAUAAAAUGCCUCAUCGACUCCAAUGAUAAAAGCAUACCUACCGGCUACCGCCAUGCCCUAACCUUUUGCGGGACAUGGUAUGAAUCUUGCCACGUAGCUGCGGCAAAAGAUACUAGUAACCCACAAGGUCAGGGUACCAAUUGAAGAAACAUUUUGGACAUGGAAAGAUGUGGCAACAUGAAAAAGUGGGAAAGUAAGAAGGAAUAACAUGAAAUUAUUGCAAAUUCAUAGAUUUACUUACAGUCACAAACCACAUGAAGCAUAAUAGUUUCCCAUCUUCAUCUUUAAAAACCUCAAAAGUGACAGGACAAAAAAAAAAAAAAAAGGGUGGGCGGGGGGUGAAAGGAAGAUAUUGAGUGGAGAGUGGGAAAUUCAAGCUUCUAUUGGCCUUGCCACAAUGGUGGAAUGCUUCAAGAUGUGCAAACUGAACUGCCCACCCUUUCCUGUGGUGUCAAGUUUGGCCUGUCCAGGAGGAGGGAGGAGCUCAAAAUUCUGAACCAGACGUCCAAUUGUGAUACCAAGAAUUGGCAGAGCAAGAAUGAUUCCAGGGCAGCUUCUUCUUCCAACACCGAACGGGAGGUACCUGAAGUCAUUGCCAUUGGCCUCAACCUUGGACUCCUCCUCCAGGAAUCUCUCUGGCCUGAACUCUUCUGGUUUUUUCCACUUGGAAGAGUCGUUAGCAAGCCACCAUGCGUUCACCAGGAUUUUGCUCUCAGCAGGAAUGUCAUAGCCACCGAGCUUUGCAUCAUUCAGAUUCAUGUGGGGGACCAGGAGAGGAAUUGCCAUCCUUAGCCGGAGAGUUUCUUUGAUUACAGCCUGAAGAUAUGGAAGCUUUUGGAUAUCAGGCUCGGUGACUUGGACGCCAGGUCCAAGCACAGUGUUCAGCUCAUCCCUGAGCUUCUUCUGGAUGUGAGGGUGGUUCACCAGCUCUGCAAUGCCCCACUCGAUUGACCACAACGUUGUUUCAAUAGCUGCAUACACAAAUUUUUCACAUUAACAUGGUUCCAGUCCCAACCCAUUUCUUAAAAUGUUAGGAAAGAAUCAUUUAAAAGGUAAACUCGGGUUGUUAGCCUGACAUGCAGUAUUGAUCCACAACCCAAUAAUCUAAAUCUUUACAGUUUAUUUGACUAUUUGACUUUAUGUCAUGGUCUGAGGUCGCCUAUGGAGGAAGUGUACAUUAUUCCCAGCAGCUUAACAAAAGAUGGGUCAACCCUUUUGUUUUAGAUCUCUAAUUGGGAACUUAAACAUAUGGUCUAGUUGAUGUUUCAUACCAUAUAAAAAAGAUAAUUGGAAAGGAGAUUUUUCUAUGGUAGAAAUGGCUUAAAAAGGGGUAGUUAAGUAGUUCAACGUCGGUAAAGAUAUGGUCAUGGUGCCAUGGGACAAAAUGGGAAGUCCAGAAAAACAAUAGGCCUCAUCUCAGUUUUUAUCGUUCUAUUCAUACUUUGAAAAGACACCAUCUGACAGCCAACCAAAGAACCAACCAUAAAGAGAUGUGGCAGUUCAUGAUCUCUCAAUCAUGCCAACCGAUGCUUAAAAGUUGACUAGUACCCAUUACAAAAGAACUCAUUUUAGAAACUCUUGAAGGGUUAAGAUAGAAAAAGUCAAGGUUUAGAAGUUUUCCAAGCCACAAGGGAGACAAAAUCAAGGUUCUCUCUCCUGUUUACUUUUAGUUAUCCUAAUGUGAGAAAGGGUACAACUUGGGCAACCAUACAAACAAGCAAUCAUAACACCAAAGCACAAACAGAGGCGCUCCGAUUGGGCUGUGGUAGGUGAGCUUGAAAGCUAAAGUAAACCCAACUCAACCCAAGCUUUUAACACCUAACCCACUUUUCUAAAUCAACCACAUGAGUUGAAUUGGGACAAACUAACAAUGAUGUCACGUGCACCCUAUCUCUCACUUGACAUUCAUCCCUUGGUGGUCUCCCUCAAAGCUUAUCUCUCUCCAUUAAUUUUUUUUGGUUUUUCAGAGGCUAGUAUAAGCUAUAGCUUAUCUUGCGCCAAUUGGACAGCGACUCCCAAUCUAUCCAUGGAGCCCAGUCCUGACCUUGUCCAAUAUAUAAAAUUGAAAAAUCAACUCCAAUCCACGGUGCAAAGUUGAAGUAAUCCUAAAAAGGAAUCUAACUACUCCCAUGGGAUCUCAUAUAAUUACUUACUCCCAUUGAGGCACGUAGCGCCCUUAUAUUCCAUGGGAUUGUCGGGUAAUGACCCUCUUACACCUCUUACUCCCGUGAGUCAAAGAUGGGCUCCAGGGUUUGUUUUUCUAUUUUUUUAUUAUUUAUUGUAAAUCUUUUAUUAAAUAAAAAAAAUCAAAAUAUAUAAUUUUUUUUUAAUAAAAAAAAUUAUAUAUUAGUUUUUUUAUUUUUUAAUACUUAAUAAAAAUAAAAUACUAUAAAAACAACCUAAUAUUUAAAUAUUAAAUUGAGUAAAAAAACAAUGAUCAUUUUCCAUGAUUGAAAAAGAGACUAAACGAUUUCUGACGCGAAGAACACAGACAAAUUUAUAGGAGACAAGUUAAGGGGGAAAGGGGAUAUACCAGCAACAUUGAUGUUCUCCACAAUGUAAAGGACGUUGUCCUCGUUGAUCUCACCCUUCUGCUGAGCAUCCAAAAUAUGAUCAACGGCGCAUUUCAGACUGUUGUGAUCUGUGCUCUUUGUGCUUGCCAGCUUCCUGCAGACCAUCACAGUUUCCAUUUUAGAUUUUCUUUUCUUGAUUUGUACGAAUAGUGAAGGUUGACCAUGUAAUUCACUUUCUACGUUGUAAGUGGAAAAUUUAUGGAUUUGGCUAAUUUUAACCCUAAAUCAGGUUCAAAAGAGGGAAAAAAAUCGAAUUUAUGAAUGGAGAAUCCUGAAAAAAUGGAAUAGAAAACUUACUUCCUCUCCUCAAGAAAAUGGUCCUUGAAGAGCUGCAACCUUCUCUCCUUAACUUCCUUGCAGAUUUUCAGGUAGCCUCUCAAAAAUGGUCUCAAAAUGGGAAUGAAGUCUCCAUAAUUGUACUCGAAGCUCUGAGCCAGUCUACUCCUCUCUCCGUUCAAGGCUUUGAGCUUCACGAACAACGGAUCCUCCUCACUAUCGAAUCUUCUAUCGAACAUGAUUCUAUACAUGUUGUUGUACAUCAUGAGCUGCAACCGUCUCCUCAGCACGAUUCCGUUGGUGGAGGCCUCGGGAUUCUUCUUCACGUCCUCAACCACACGCGCCGCCUCGUCCUCCCAUCCGACGCGGUACUGCUGAACUACCUUGUUGGUGAAGAAAGGGACGGUCAUGAUCCGCCGCAUCUUCCGCCAAUGCUCACCGUACACCGUGAACACCAUGUCCUGGCCCUUACCUGUGAAUAUGUCGAACACCACGUUUCUUGUGCGUGAUCCGAACUCCACUCCCUGAGUGUGCAAAACGUCCUUCGCCAGGUCCGGCGACGACACCACCACCAGGUUCCGCUGCCCCAUUCGCAGCAUGAAAAUGUCCCCGAAUUUCUUCGCUAAGUCGGAGAGGUUCAGGUGGUUCAAGUCAUCCCCAACCUGCAGCCAGUUCCCGAAAACCGGCACCGGCAGAGGACCUGGAGGCAGCUUUAAUUUCUUCCCCAGAAGCUUAGAGAUGGUGAUGGCCAGAAUUAUAGCGCAGAACACCGCUAACAGAGCUUUCUCUAUGAGUAUGAGAUCCAUGGUUGUGGCGGUGGAUGGUGCCUGAGGGCUGGUGGGUGGCGGAUGGUGGAUAUGGUUGAUGGUGGGUGUAGUGAUGGGCUUAUAUAGGGAAAUGAGUGAAGCAAUAGCGCCGGCUCGGGCUGACGGGAAUCGUUAGGUGGGAGUAGGCGAGUGCGAGGGAGUGGGUGAGAGUCCUAUAUUGACGGCGUGAAAUGUGACGGCGCUUUUGAGGGGUAGGUCCGCCAGAUUCAGGGUGACGAGUUUGAAGGGAGUAGGUAAGGGGGUGGGUGGAGCGAAAGCGUCAAAUUGAUGGACCUUUCAAAGUGAAGGAGCUCCUAUCCUCUGCGUACCCCCACCACACUCCAACUAUCCUUCUAAUCCAAUGGCUCUCAUUUUAUUUUUUCACGUGACCAACCUACUCAUAUGUUCUAGCACUACACAUUAUAAUAAUUUUGUUUAAAUAGUUUUCGUGCACAAGGAGUUUUAAAAUCUCAUCCAAUUACUGCUUGCGCCAGUUAGUAAUAGUGGGUCCUAUAACAUUAUGUGGCAGUGACUGGUGAAUUGCGGGGAAUUUGGUUUUGAGGCUGAGGAGGAUUUGCCACGGUUUCCUUAUUCGUUGCAUCAUGGAUUUCCUACCAUUAAUACUUGUGACAUUCAAUAUUUUCCAUUCUUCAAAUUAUUUAGAAUAAUAAUUGGAUAAUUCCUUUUAAUCUAUUCCACCUGAAAUUAAGAUAAAUAUAAAAAUUUUGAGAUUCAACUCACUUGUUAAACUCAAGUCCUAAAUCUAAAUCAAUUCAAUUUUAAGAUCCCACUCUUCUACUAUAUUUGAUUUCUAAAAAAUCAAUGAAAAUAAAAAAUAAAUUUAAAAUUAAUAAAUUAUUUAAAAUUAUAUUUCCACUACAUAUAUCAAUAAAUUUGUAAUUCUCAAAUCCUUUUCAUAAAUAUUUCUAUUUUUAAUUUUUUGAUAAUCAAGGUAAAUUCUUGAACAAAAUUGCUAGAUAAUUAAUUAUUUAAUAUUCAAUCAAUUGAAAAUUUUAACUAGGUUCGGACAAUAAUCUAACUCUGACUCACUCUCUUUUUUUUGCCCCUUUUUUUGGCUUUUACAUUAAAUCUAAGUGGUUGCCUUCCCAUGGCACUAAACAUUGUUGUGUAAAUUAAGCCAAUUUGAUAGGAAUAAAGUCAGCCAAAUGCCAUCAGAAAUGCCUCUGAUGGGCCUAAAAUUGGCCAAUUACAAUUACAAUUACUCGAACAAACAAGGCUUACUCAUGCACGAAAUCAAUAGCAUCUUUGCCAGGCCCGAAACUUUGAAAAUUCAAAGCAAAUGUAAUAUUUUUAAGUUUAUGUCGGACAAUGACACUUUUGAUCUUUUUCCCUUUUCAACCUUUACACUCCAUAAAUUUGAUAUUCAAAAAGCUUUAAUUUUUAAACGAACGGCAUGGACUACAUCAACUCCUCUUUUUUUUAUUAUUAUUAUAAAACUUUAAAAAAGAUGGAGAUUUUGUUGGAGAAGUACAAAUAAGAGAAAACCUCCAAAAGUCAACUACAGGCGCCCUCUUUGGCUGCCUGGUUUGAGUCAUGGGUCAGUUUUGGGAACUACCUUAUAGGUACCGCGUGCCAUCUGCCGGCAAAUCUCAUCCUCCGCUCAUUUCUUACCUUAUAAUCCUGCAACCAUCUCCUUUAUUAAACUAUAUAUUCUAUCGCUUUCAUGGUUCCGUAAAUCAAAUAAAAAAAACGCGAAAAUAUUAUAGUUUUUUCCGCUGCCCUAUUCUUUCCCUACGUCAUGGCUUUUACUAUAUUAAAGUAUUGGAAAUGAGCAAAUGAGUAUUGUUAUCGUGGCACCUAUCAAUACUCUUUUGGUAACGUAUCCCCAUUAAAUCUAGUUUUGACAUCACGUUGAAAAAUCAAAAUUUUAAAAUCAGUGAUCUUUUGGUAACGUAUCCCAUUAAAUCUAGUUUUGAUGUCUUGUUGAAAAAUCAAUUUUUAAAAAAAGUUAAAUUUAUGAUAUAUUAUUUUGAAUUUAACUAGAAAAAGGCUCGUAAUAAAAUUUGAUCAUCCCCUAAUGCGGGCAUUUACUAAUCUCAAGGUUUAGAGCGAUAAAACCUAACCAUCACACAUAAUACUUAUUUGUUAAUAUGUCAAUUUUUAUAUUUACACUUACAUUCAAGAAUUUAUAUUUUAUUUUAUAUGCAAGUGACGACAUUGUUGAAAGAAAUAUGUGAUCAAACCAAUACAAUAUACCUUUCCUCAAAAUUGGAGGCUAGGUAGCCAAAUGAAUGUGGAUUAUAAAAAGGAAAGAGAGGGCAAAGCAGAUGGGAAGAGAAUGGAAGGAGACCACUUCUAAGGCCUACCUACUACCGUGGAUAGAGACGUAAUCAAAUAUCAUACCUAACCCCCAACAAAGAGACCACGAGCAGUGCCUCAAGCUACCUCCACCACCGCCCCCCAUUUUUAGUGAUCAAAUUUAGCCACGUCAUCUUUAUGUCAAUAAUCCUAUUUUCCUACGUCAUCUAUCGUUCCACAGUGGCAUGGUUUCCUCUUCCGUGGGCUAUCAAACUUGGACCGUCCACCUUGGCUGCAGCAUUAUUUGUUUUUCUCAUUUAUUGCACAAUUUAAAACCUUAUCUGGGUUUGGCGGGUUCUGCAAAUUGCAAUUACUAGCCUCCAGUGAGAGUCUUCCAAGUUAGAACCAAUGAGAAUUGGCCAAUGCCAUAUGAGUUUUCUUUUAUAUUUAUUAUAUAUUGUAUAAACAUUAUUAAAGUAAUUUAUGAUUAUUAAAUUAUGAUGAAAUUAAUUUUUAAACAUAUUUAUUAUAUUUUAGGUUAAAAAAUUUAGAUAUAAUAUGAAUUUCAAAUCCAAAGUGAUUUUAAUUAACGUACAUGUUAAUUUCCAUUCAAUUUUUUUAUUAUCUAAAUUAAAUCAAAUCAAUUUUAAAUAAACUUGAUUUGGUUUUAUGUUUCCAUUAUUAAAAGGUUGGUUCGAUUUUGAUUCAAAUAAAAAUCGACUAUGCCCCGAUUUGAUUAAUUUUUCUUUAAUAAAAAUUAAAAGAUAUCAUACUUUAAUCAAUCUUGCAAAAAUAAUUAUAAUGGUAAGGUGGAAUUUUGCAAGUCUCCAUCAAGAUUGUGAAAAAUGAUUUAUUUUUGGUACCUUUCGACCAAUAAUACUACUAACUCCCUUCCAUCUAUAAUAAUGAAUAUUUGUCUCCCUAGGCGAUCUCUAAUAAUCAAUGUGGCGUCUUCUCUAGGUGAGUCCCCAUCAGCACAUACGCUCCACAUAUUUUUUUUUUUUGUGGGACAAUAAAGAAAAACAUUUUCCCAUGACUAAUGACUCGAUAUAAAGAGCAACUCUUUUAUAUCCUUUUGAGCCGAUGGAAACUUUGAUUAUAUCCCAAAAAAAGUCCUCCUCCCUUUUUCUAUGAUCAGGAUCAUUAAUAACGUUAAUGGUAUCGCUAGAGGUAGUGGGAUUGUAACUUCUUUUUGUAAUGAUCGGAUCAUAUUAUGUUUUUGAGCGGUAUGGAAACUAUAAGUAGUAGGACUAUAACUUAGUUGAUUUUAUGUAAUCAACUCCAUAUUUAGAUUGAUAUGGGUAAAAAUUGAAUGGGUUAGGUAGGGGCUUAAAGCUUUUAAAAAUCAAUGAGCAUAUAUUGAGGAGAGCAUUUUAUAACCUUGGUUUUGUCGGAGAUUACGAAAUCGAGGUUUGGUUCAUUUCAAUUUUAAUAAGAACAAAACAAGGUUUAAAAUUAAUAUUUUCUUUUUAAGUAUGUUUUAGCUAAUAAGAUUUUUGAAGUGGCAAUUAUAAGGACAAAUCAAAUUUAAAAAAAAUAUAUAAAAGACGAGUUUUCAAGACUUUGUCUAUAAUAUUUUGUAAGGUUGAUAGUAUACUAGGAUUAUGCAUUAUAUCUUUAAGCACAAAAAAUCAUCAAAGUAUUAAUUUGUUUUAAAUUAUUUUAUAAUAGGAUGAUCUCAUAUUUCAAUUAAAACUACGUGUUAAAUGUUUUUUAAAUUUGCUUUAAAAGGUUUUACAAAAUAAAAUACAAGUUACUAAAUGAUUCAAACCUCAAAUUAGGGCAUUUUAUGCACUUUAUAGUACAAGGCAGAGAGGAAUUGGUUGAGCCAAUUGACUCAACAUGUUGAAGUACACUUGUACACUUUUUCUUCCAAUAAUAUGUACUCAAUUAAUUGAGGUUAAGCCUCAAUAGGACUAGUUAAGAUCUUAUUGAAGCCCCAAAACCCAACUAUCACAUAUCAUAAGUAUUAAUUGCUAACAACUAAUGAAUUUCAAUUAAAUUGAUGUGUGGACCCCGCAUUUCGAUUGCGCUAUGCGUUUCCCACUCGAUGGCGAGCUCGAAUUUUAAUUUGAAAAAUUGAUUUAUAUUGAUUAUGAAAAUGACUUGGAGUCGCCACUUAUUUUUGUUUUAUUUUUAAAGGGUAAACAAAAUAAGAAAGAAAAACCCUAAGUGUGACUCCUUAUUUUGGAAAAGGUGGUCUGUGAAAAACCAGAUCGGGUUCGGGGGUCAGGUUACUUAUCAGGAAGGUACGGUAAAAACCGUAGCACCCUUCUAAGUCCCUAAAAAUGGGUCUCUACUAAUAAAAUGAAGCAAUCAUGGCAAUUGAUGAGGAAAUCAAUGAAUACUCAGAGUGAUCAUGCACACGUGAGAAUUUAAACAUGCAUAUCGAAAAUGACUAGAGCGGAUGUAGAUGCGUACCUGGGCAGUGAUCCAUGAAGCGCUAUCAAGAAGUGACGUUAGUGCACAAUUAAGAAAUAAUAGCAUGCACGUCGUAGAGCAGAAUAAAUAAAUAGCGCGUGACAAACAAAUCAAUCAAUCAUAAAAUCACGUAUGUGGGGCCCCCACCAAAGCCCGAUUGAUCUUGCACGAAUUAAUCUCACAAAUUCCAUUGUUCUGAAAUUAUGAAAAUGACAUUCACGCUUAUAUAAAAUUAAGAGAAAAAGAAGAUUAUUUGAAAACCAAAGUGGAAUUAAAACUAUUUGAGAGAAAAUUAGAUUUUUGAAAUUUAAUUGAAAAAUUGGAAUCUCGAAGAUCACUAGAAAAUUGGAGUUUUAGAGUUUAUUUGGAAAUUAGAUUUUUAGUGAUUGAAUGUGAGAAUGAGAAUUUUUAGAAAAUGAAUUUGAAAGAGGUUAGAAUUUCAGAGAACUAAAUUUGGGAAUUGGAAUUUUGAAGAAUUAUUUAAAGAUGGAAUGUCGGAAAAUUAAAUUUCGAAAAGUGGAAACCCGAAAAAUUAUUUUAAGGAUGGAACGCCGGAAAAUUAAAUUUCGAAAAGUGAAAACCCGAAAAAUUAUUUUAAGGAUGAAAUAUCGGAAAAUUAAAUUUCGAAAAGUGGAAACCCGAAAAAUUAUUUUAAGGAUGGAACGCCGGAAAAUUAAAUUUCGAAAAGUGAAAACCCGAAAAAUUAUUUUAAGGAUGGAAUAUCGGAAAAUUAAAUUUCGAAAACCCGGAAUAUUUAGAGAAUUACUUUGAUAUCCAAAACGUGAAGAAAUAAUAAAAGAAAUGUGAAUUGUGGUCAUCUUUAAGUGCACGUCUCCAGUGUAAUGCCCAUAAACCCAUUUUACAUAUUUUAUUUUAUUUUUUACCACCUGAGCAAACAACUUUUGCAUGAAGAUUGAUGAGUGGGUAUUGAAGAAUGAUGACAUGGGCAAGGUAAUGGAAUCAGCCACUAGCAGGAAAUAAAUAAAAAAUGAAAAUCCUACAGACCCAUUUAAUUCGACAUCAAACCAGAAAGCAAAACCAUGCAUUAAACCCUACUCACCACCUGCAUCCUCCUCCUUGGAUCCUUUUAAUCGCCUUUUCAUCCACAAGGAUAGAACCAAACCAGUCUCAUUCUCAUUGAGGUCCAAAACAGAGCAUCCAUGAACACAGUCCGGUUAACAAACUCCUGCUUCAUUUGAACCAAUGCAUGGCUCCAGCUAUUUUAUCAAUUACAAGAAGCCAAACUCCAUUUCUGGGACCUUCACUCGUAGAAGGAAACCUCAAGUGUGGGAGCCAAAAACAGAGAUUCGGAUGGAAACACCCACACACAUAAUAGGGAAAAGGAAGCAGAGAAUACAAUGGAAUGAAGCUUUAAAAAAGGAUAAACAAAGACCAAACACCCAACAAAUAUGAAGAAACCUAUUUCAUUUUUCUUUAUCCGUGGGUUUGAAGGUCGAUGGAUUAAACUAAGAAGACAUCUUAAGAGACAAAAUAAAUCCAAGAUACAAGAAAGUUUUCAAAUAUCUAACAACCAAACCAAGCACAGUCAGGUUAUCCUUGAAUGAAACCAGAGAAAUAGAGAAUGGAACCACAAUAACCAAAUCAAAACAACCUCACAAACAAUGCAAGAUGAUCACAUGAACCAGAAAAUAGAGAAGCCUGAUGAUUAUUAAUAGCCUAUGAACCCAAAGAAUCUUACCUAGUCGUGCUCCCCUCAAGUAGAAAUUUGAUUGGCUUCAAACCAACCUUCUCUGCUCAGUUCUGGCUCCCUAAAAAAUCCCUCCAAACGGCAGCCAAUAGCACCACUCCCUCCCACAGUUUGCUGCUCUUAGCUCUACAAAUACUCUCUCUCUCUAAUGAAAACCCCCCUCCCAAUCUCUCCUACUCUCUGCUUUUUUCUUUUUUUUUUUCUAGCCGUCGCCUACCUUCUCGGGCAAGCCAUUACCUGCUUCCCUGUUCAUCUCUCAGCCGGUAUGGGCUCCUCCAACUCCAGCAUGGCCUCUGCCACGUCUCUUUCUCCCCUCCCAUCUGGUGGUCCCCCCUUUGUUUAAAAGAGAAAUACCCAGAAGAGAGAAAAAAACUCUCCCCCCGGGCCCCUCAUAAAAGGGGGUCUACAUGAUGUUUGACCAAACGAACCCAAAUUGUGCAUAAUGACUAAUUUGACUUUCCAACUCCUAUAAAAAUAAAAUAAAAAAAAAAAAAAAUCCUCCAAAUUUCAUUCUUUUGUAAACUUAAUAUCGUAAUUUAAAAAAAAAAUAUAUUUGAACCUUGGGGAGUGUUUUAUAGUGUACAUUGUUUCAAAACUUGUAUAUCAUUAGUACACUAUUAAAUCUUAAUUUAUCUUGUAUUAUUUGAGCAUAAAUUUUAUAUUAGGGUUUUAUGAGAAUAUUUUCUAUCAUUUCCUAUAAAGAUUUUGAGAGGGAAAUUUAAGUGUCGAGGUAUCACUUAGGGAUUUUGGGUAUCACUUAAAGGAUUGUUUAAAACUAUGUAUAUUUUGAGGAUUGUAAAAGUUGUUUGGAACCAUUAGUUCAAGAGGGUUCAUUUGAACCAUAAUCAAAUUGUAAAAUUUAGAGGUUUAGGUUAUAAGCUUUGAAAUAGUGGAUCCUUAUUCGGUUAAGAGUUUGAGAAGAGUAGAUGUAAGUUAAGUUGUACUAAACCAACAUAAAAACGAGUAUUUACAUUUUCUUUUAUCCAUUCUCUUUAUUUUAUAUACGAUUACUUUUCAUUGUAUUUAUUUCAUAUUUGUAUAUAAUUAUCUUUUAUAUUCACAUAAUUUGAAUUUUAUCUAUAUAGUAAAGGAAAACAAAAAUAUAGAGAAUAGUAAUAAAGUAGAAAAAAAUCUUAAUAAUUAUGAAUAUUAUUAAUUUAAAAAAAUCUAAAUGUUUAAUAUUAUUACUAGACUUUUAUAUUGCUUAAUAAUCAUAACGCUAAUUCGACAUUAAAAGAUGAUAAUCAAAAUAAUUGUAAGUAUUUUUUAUUUUUUUUUAAAAAAAGAAAGAAAAAAGAUAAAAAUAGAGACAUGCAAACAAUAGGUUUGGCAAUUAAUUAUGUCCAUUUUUUCAUACUUCAAUAUACUAAUUCCAAAGUUUUCUUUAACUAAAGUCUUCAAUGCUUUACACUUGAUUCAAAUAUGUAAUAUCUUUACAAUUCCUUCAAGUGAUUUGUCAUGUUUGAAAAAAAGUUUUCAUAUUUUAUAAGUUCAAAACACUUAAAUGGUGAGGUUUUUUGUUUACAAAUUGAGACUUAGUACGAUGAAAAAAUACGAUUAGCAAAAGAAAGGAUGGUGCAAGAAAAGAGACCUUUGCAAGCUCUUUAAUUAGUUUGUAUGAUGAUUGUUGAAUGUUGGUGAAACCAUAAUUGUUCAAUUUAUUUAUUUUUUGUUUGUCAAGAAAAGAGACCUUUGCAAGCUCUUUAAUUAGUUUGUAUAAUGAUUGUUGAAUGUUGGUGAAACCAUAAUUGUUCAAUUUAUUUUUUUUUUGUUCGUUAGUUUUUGUUUUGAUUUUAGAUUUUUUCCCAUACUUGAAACUAGUCACGGGCCAUAGUUUCGAGUCAACUCAUUGACUAGAUGAUAAAUCAAAGAACUAGUGAUUUGGUUAAAAAUAUAUAUGGAGAUGACCAAUGGAUUGUGAAAAUCUUGAAUGAUAUUUGAUUAGUUGAGGUAAAACCUUAACCACUUCAAUACAACACCGAGGGUUACUGUUUGAAAAGUUUGCACAACACAACUCAACUCAACUAAUUGAGAUGAAACUCGAUUAGUUGAGCUUUGCCCUUACAAAAAUACUAAAUCGAUUGAUCGUUACUUUUUACACUUUUUUAAUUUUGAAAAUUUUCAACUUUUAAGCUCAAAAACACUUAGGGAACAAUCAAUAUAUAUUCCUAUAAAUUUAAAGAAAUCCAUUUAAAGAUAAAACAAUGAACCAAUAUUGGUAUUUUGUCAUCAAGUUUUUUUAAGUGUUUGAGUCAAUUUAAAAACCAAUUAGAUAAUGUUUUCCCGCAAUUAUACCCCACUCAUCAUCCAAUUAUCCAAAAUCUCCUAAAUCAAAUCAUCUUCAACCUUGGUGGAUUCUCCAUGGAGCACAAUCAUAAUUUCUUUCUUCCAUUGUUAGAAGAUUACCAUAUAUUUAAAUACCAUAUAAAGUUUUUAAAGUAUUUUCUAUCUUUUCAAUUAUUGUUAGAAGAUUCUAUUCAAACAACUUAAAAUACCUCAAAAUUGUUCUAAAAUAACCUAUUUUUAGAAUAAAUUAUGAAAAAUUAUAGAAAAACUAUUUUCUGUCCAAAAUUCACCAAAUGGAUGCACUAUGGGAACGCAAGUACUUUGGAAGACCAUUUCAUGGGCCUCUCUCCCCGCUUGAUCCAGUUAUAUUGCAAAAUAUGGGCUAACUUCAACGGGACCAAAAUACUAACAGUUACGAUGUUCAAAAUGGCCCAAAAUUUUCAGGCCCAUUUCUUUCAGCCCACAAAGUUGCUGAGACAGAGGUAUCAUAUACUUGAUAUAGUUUCAGGCUUUCACCAUCAUCCUUAGCUCAGAUUAGCACGAAGCCACGAGCCCUUCCCUCGGCUGCUCACACGCACUCUCUCUGUCAAUAUACGUUUCCUUCUCUCUCGGUCUCAAGCAAUGUCUUAUGUGCCACCGCACCUGAGGAACCCUUCUUCUUCUAUCUCUCGAACCUCCAAACCUACCGAAACCUCCGCGGUAACCCUAGACGACACUCAUCGCACCACCAACAACCUUUCCUAUUCCUCCACAAACUCUCAUCUCUCUCAUUCCAACGCCUCUUCCUCUCCUUCUCUCUCUCGUUGGGCCUCCUCCAAUGCCGCCGCCGUGCCUCGGACUCCCUCCGUUCCGGAGCCCGUUUUCCCUCAGUGGAAGCCUUCCGACCGUGUUUUCCUUAUGAAACCUGAACAGGUUUGAUGUUUAUGGUUCUCUGAUUGAUUUUUUUUUUUGGCUAUGGUGGUUUGAGUGGGUUGUUGCUUGAAUUAAUUUCACUACUAUGCUAAUUUUGGCGUUCUUUUUGGAGUUGUUGUUGUGUUGUUUUGUGGCCCUGUUUGGUUGCUGAGAUAAUUAUGAAUGAGAAGGGGAAAAGUCAACGUUUCUUUUAUUGUUGUUUAGUUGGAAGAAAAAAGAGAGCUUAAGUUACAUCAGUCAAAAAAUAGUCUUAGAAAACUUAAGUGAGAUGAUUAUUCUGUUUUUGGAGGAGCCGAAGCAGUGGAUAGUGUAAGAUUCAAUUAUCCUUUGGAAAAUUAUAUGAUUCUGAUUCUGUAAUAUAUAAAGAAUGUGACUUAAGAAAAUGUCACUGAAUAUGACCAAGGUUCAAAAAAUGUGGCAUAAUUAAGGAAAAAUGUGACUUGGGCAGUGAGAGAGCUCAAAGAGGUAUGACACCACCAAAAAUUUGAUACUUUUUGUUCUCAUGGUCUGCUCGUUGUCCUCUCCUUCAGUUUUCUGCCUGAUUCUCAACAACCAACCGGAGUAUCAUUUUUUGUUAAUUUUAGUCAUUGCGUUAUAUUUGGACUUGAAGGCAAUAGUUAGUUUAUGGUUCAAUGUUUCAUUUGUGCUCUAAAACGUAUUUUCUGCCUGAGAUUCUUUUGGUUGAAUUAUAAUCAUUUUUGUAUUCUGAAAUUGGAGAAAUUGGAAUAUUGGCAUAUUCAUCAAAGCGAUCAUUUGAAAUAUUGAAUUUGAAUUAAUGUUUUUGUUAUCUUGGCAUGAUGCAUUUACAUACAGAUUGAAGAGGUCCGAUUGCGGCUUAAUGUUGAUGUUACUGUUGCUCCAGACUUGCCUCCUGCACCUGCACCAAUUGAAUCAUUCACAGACAUGGUAAAUUUGUGCAUUUAUGUGUCUUGGUGAUAUGAUCAAAGCUACUUUAAUGAGGCAGCAAUAAAAUCUCAAGUUAAGAAAAUAUGGUUUUUUAUUUUUUCAGGGUCUGCACCAAAGCAUCAUGAAGGAUAUUACCUUUCAUGAAUAUACUAGGCCCACCUUUAUUCAAGCUCAGGCCAUGCCAGUUGCUCUCAGCGGAAGGGAUCUCCUGGGAUGUGCUGAAACUGGUAGUGGAAAGACUGCUGCUUUUGCUAUUCCUAUGAUUCAGGUCUUUAUUUCAUGAUUUUAAUGGACUAUUAUGAACUUUAUAUUUUCUUUUGAGUUUUAGUGUUUGCUUGGAAAUUGAACAAUUGGAUAUAUAUCUGGCUAAUUGAUGGUUUUCUGCCUUACUUUUCUAUCUUCCAUUUCCAAUUUUGCAGCAUUGCUUGGCUCAACCUCCUGUUCGGCGAGGUGAUGGACCAUUGGCAUUGGUCUUGGCUCCCACAAGAGAGCUUGCCCAACAAAUAGAAAAGGAGGUGCCAACUAUUUUUUGUGAAUAGAAGAUGAAUGCUGUUGUUAGGAUUAUCUAAGUUUCAAACUGUUGGCAGUAAUAGUUCAUGUUUUUUCUUCUAAACCACAUUAUAACGAUGCUGCAAGUGUUUGUCAAAAUUGAAUUCACAUUUGGUUCUUAAUUAUGUUUGUUAGUUUUAAUCUAGAGCGGACUUCAUGUUGCCAACCCAAUUAGAUGAACAAAGACAUUUUGGCGUGUUGAAUUGUUAUAUGUUUAUUAUUCUCGCCAUUUUGUUCUUUGUUUUUGCUGAACGGAUACACAAAAGCACUCUCUCACAUUCUUCAUUAUAUUCUUUGAUCUCGAUUACUUUUUUAUUAGAUAUGAAAGUUAUAUUAAACUGGCAUGCAUUCGUUGGAUUUUGUUUACUUCUGAAUAUGAAUAUUUAUGCAUAAAUAGGACCCAAUAACAUUUUCUCCAAAUUCUUUAGAACCUUAAAGCAAACUAGGAUUAUUUCCUUUAUUAGUUUCUUUGGUCAAUUUGGAAAUGGAAUUAAUAUGUCUGAACCAUGAAAGCUGAUAAUUCUUGAGUAUGCCAGGCUUAUCUAAGAAGGGUUAGCUUGGUGAAUGAUGAGAUCAUUCUUUUAUUGCAUGUGGUCUAGCACAUCAUAUCAUUUUAAGUAUUGUUUUUCAAACUUGGUUUUUAUUUUAUUUUAUUUUAUUUGAAGGGUGAGCACAUUUUUCCUUCUCUUUUGGGUUUUAUUCUCUACAUUUGUGGGAAUGAAUAAGAACCAAUAUUAUCAUUUAUUUAGGAUUUAUGAGAUGAAUAAUUUAGCGAGAUUUUUUUCUCCUUGAAUUAUGAGUUGUAUCUUUUGAUUUACAUUUAAUAUCUGAUCUAUUUUGAGAUCAUCUUUCGUUCUCAAAUUACCAUGUUGAGCAAUCUGAUGUCUCCUGUCCAGGUUAAGGCUUUUAGUAGAUCACUUGAUUCCUUUAGAACUGCGAUAGUUGUGGGUGGAACAAACAUUUCCGAGCAGGUGACCAAUUUUGUCUUGAUAAUUUCAUUUCAUAAUGGUUUUUGAAAAUUGAAAUCGUUGUCCUAGUUUCUCCUUAUUCAUUUCUGAGCAGGACUGCAGGAGAACAAAAGGAAAAAUUUAUGUCCUGUCUCUUCUUAUUGCUGUUUACAUUUCAUUUCCUUGGUGCAGGAAAAAAUGGUUUCCAAUCCUAUCUUAUAUACGCAUAUAUGUUUUGUUGGUUUCUUUUGUUGCUUGACACCAAACAGAGGUCUGAACUUAGAGCAGGAGUAAAUAUAGUGGUUGCCACUCCUGGAAGAUUCAUUCAUCAUUUACAAGAAGGAAACACGUCUCUUUCCAGAAUUUCAUUUGUUGUUUUGGAUGAAGCUGACAGAAUGCUUGACAUGGGAUUUGAACCACAAAUAAGAGAGGUAUAUUACAUGCCAAUCCAUAUACUCACAUUUUUAGAUUUUCCCCACUUGCUUAUAUCAUUGCUACUUAAGAGGCUCUGCCUUUAUUUAGUUCAUUUUAUGCUCCAGUUCCUAGUGUCUCUCUUUUCUUUGUAAGCAUGUUAAUCUAUCUAUACAUUUUGUGUCCUUCCUUUUCCUUGCUUUUGCAAUGUUUUGCAUGCUUUAAUAAAAAAACAUGCAAUCAGUUUACUUGCAUUUGGUUGCAACCUAUCAUCAUCUCAUUCUCAGCAUAUGGUCUGUGAACCUUCUGGAAGAAGACAUUUUACACUCCCUUUCAUUCCAUUUCAGGUGAUGCAAAAUCUGCCACAAAAGCAUCAAACACUGCUGUUCAGUGCAACCAUGCCAAUGGAGAUUGAAACAUUAGCACAGGUUGGGAGUAUUUUCUGUUUCACAUCAUGGUGAUCUUGUCAAGAAGUUGAUUCCAUUUUUUAUUGCCUCAUGCUCAAAUUGAACCCAGAGUUUGUGUUAAACUUGUACUGUGAAGUUUUUACAUCUGAUGUAAGUCCAUGCCUUGUCCUCCUGAUUAAGAGUUUCAUCCAAUAUCCUCUAGAUGUCCCUCUGGAAAGCAUCUGAACUCAAUAAAUAAGGUUCUGCUGUAUAUUUGCCUUUUUUUUUUCUCCCUUCUUUGCUUUCUUUUUGUGGGAUAUGAUCAAGCACUUAACCUUGGAGUUCGAGAAAACUGAGUCUGACUUUGAAAUCAGUGUAAUUGAAUGCUCCUAUAGGUUCCAAAAGUACAUUAAAAGAAAAGUACAUUCCCAACUUUGGCAGUGCUUUCUUCUGCAUAAUGUGGAUUUCCCACUUUUUCUGAUUUUUAAAAAUCUUUCUGGUGUUAAAAUGAGCCUACAAACAAUGGAUGCUUCUGAGAAGAGGUAUCAAAUGCCUUUCUCAUUUUGGUGUUAGCGUGUGUGGCACCUCCAAGAUGACAUUGUUAAGUCUUGUAAAAAUUAAGCAAAAUUUUUUUAGAAGUUGCUCUGAGAACGAUUAUGUCUUCUUUUGUAUUUAUUUGGAUUGAUUUUGAUGUUAGCAUGAAGUAUUUUGGCAUAAUUUGACUUUAUUUUUUUGUGCCGUCUUAGGAGUAUCUAAAUAAUCCUGUGCAAGUAAAGGUGGGAAAAGUGAGUUGCCCAACAGCAAAUGUUUCUCAGAUUUUGGAGAAGGUUUCUGAAAGUGAGAAGGUAUGCUUAUUUUGGCACUUGAUACAUUUUUUCUUUCCUGAAAUCUCACUUAGUUCUCCUCUAAUUUUUUAAUCACAAUUUUCUGAUCUUACACACGAGUCUUUUUUAGGGGAGGAGCUUGGACAUGUUCUUUUGUUCUUCAACAUGUAUGCUUCAAGUUCUAUUACUUGGAGUCCCAUUAUCACUUUUAGUAUUUAUCCUUGUCUAAAUUAACAAGUUAGAUUUCUAAAUGGAAGGUCAAUCCUAAAUUGGGUAUGAAUCUGGAGAUAGAGGUUAUUUGCUUGUAAACUUGUAGCUGGAUGAAUGACUUGAGAGAUAUGAUGUGUAGUGAUAGCAAGACUAUACAUUAUAAGGCUAAUCAAAUUAGACACUUAGAACUUACUGGCAUACUGCAAUUGUUGCAGUCAGUACUUGUUCUUGGUGGUUUUUUAUUUUUUUCAUUUUUUCAAAAAUUUGUUUUGUUCUUUUGGGAAAUUAAAUGGGUUAUGAGCCUCCAUGAAGACUUGUUUCUUUCAUUUAUUGCUAUGUAUGAGGAAAGAUUGUGGUGGACACCAGGCUUGAUGUUGUAUAAAGAUAAGUUGACCACAACAAAUUUUCUUCUAUGCUUUUUCUGGGCUUGGAAGUUCCUUUAGGACAUUUAAAGAAGAGAUGAUAUUUGGAGUAGUUGAGGUUGGCCUUUUCCUUGGGGUGGGGAUGGCUGCAGCAAGGAAAACUUACAGUCCCAUCCUUGAUCCUCCAAUUCAAAACAUUUAUCAGGUUUAUACUCUCAGCAAUGGUUUAGGGCAUCAGUGCUAGCUUUUAUAAUGGUGAUGAGACUUGGUAUUGGAAGAUAUUCUAUGAUAAGCAUAGACUACUGCAUAAAAUAAUCCAAAAUGGAUUGUAGGGUACAAAAAAAAAAAUAUAGUAUGCCCUAGCUAUGAUACUUAUAGCUAGCAUUUGUAUUGUCAAAAUAUUGUGUGAAUGGCCAAAUACCUUUGCCUUGAGUUUUGUAUAUUAUAUGUAGACUUUACAAGGAUGUUAUACAUGGAAAGCAAAUAAAAGCAAAUAAAUUCCCGCAUGAUUCUUUGGCUGAGGAGCAAGAGGUGAAGGAGGGGAUUGUGAAUGCUUUUCAGCAUCAGCUCUUGGAAGAGCCAGGAUGGAGAGCUGGCAUUGAGGGGCUGCACCUUCAAUGUCUAAACCACAGUGAAGCUGAAGCUCUGGAGAUGCCUUUUACUGAGGAAGAAAUUUUCUUAGCUCUGAUGGAAAUGAACGGAGACAAGGCUCCGGGCCUGGAUGGGUUUACUGUGGCCUUUUGGCAAUCUUGUUGGGAUUUUGUGAAGGAGGAGGUUGUAGAGCUGUUUAAGGAAUUUUAUGACCAGAAAUCUUUUGCUAAAAGCCUAAAUACUACCUUCUUGGUCCUCAUCCCAAAAAAAGGUGGGGCUAAGGAUCUCGGGGAUUUUCGGCCCAUCAGCCUUUUAGGGGGGCUAUGCAAGCUUCUGGCCAAAGUGCUGGCCAAUAGGUUGAAGAAGGUGUUAGGUAAGGUGGUCUCGGCGGAUCAAAAUGCAUUUGUGAGGGGAAGACAGAUUCUGGAUGCCUCUCUCAUAGCUAAUGAGGUGGUUGAUUAUUGGCAGAAGCGGAAAGAGAAAGGGCUGGUUGGCAAACUGGAUAUUGAAAAAGCCUAUGAUAGUAUUAAUUGGAACUUCCUCAUGAAGGUUUUGCAUAAGAUGGGCUUUGGGUCUCGUUGGAUGGAGUGGAUUCGGUGGUGCAUCUCAACUGCAAAAUUUUCGGUUCUUGUCAACGGGGUGUCAGUAGGCUUCUUUUCCAUCUCUAAGGGGCUGCGUCAAGGAGAUCCCAUUUCUCCUUACCUUUUUGUUUUGGGUAUGGAAGUGCUGAGUGCACUCAUAAGAAGGGCUGUUGAGGGGGGCUUCAUUUCUGGUUGCAGACUUCGAGGGAGAGGGGGGAUGGAGAUGAAUGUGUCCCACUUACUCUUUGCCGAUGACACAAUCAUCUUUUGUGAAGCAAGGAAGGAGCAUCUAACUCAUCUUGGUUGGAUUUUGGCGUAGUUUGAGGCGGCUUCUAGUUUUAAGAUUAAUCUGGCCAAGAGUGAAUUAAUUCCUGUUGGGGAGGUUGAAGAUAUUGAGGAAAUGGCUGUGGAGUUAGGGUGCAGAGUGGGGGAUUUUCCUGUUAAGUAUUUGGGGCUGUCCUUUGGAGCCCAUCACAAGGCCUUGUCUAUGUGGGAUGGGGUGGAGGAAAGAACGAGGAGAAGAUUAGCUCUUUGGAAAAGGCAUUAUUUGUCUAAGGCCGGGAGAAUUACCCUCAUUAAAAGUACAUUGGCCAAUAUUCCUAUCUACCAAUUGUCCCUUUUCCGAAUGCCCAAGUUAGUGGUAAAAAGGCUUGAAAAAUUACAAAGAGAUUUUCUUUGGGGAGGGGGAAGCCUGGAAAGGAAAAUCCACUUAAUCAAUUGGGAGGCGGUGUGUACUCAAAAGGAGAAAGGGGGUCUUGGCAUUCGGAAGAUUGUUUUAUUGAACAAGGCUUUGCUGGGUAAGUGGAUUUGGAGAUUUGCCUUUGAAAAAGAUUUACUUUGGAAGAAGGUGAUCGGGGUGAAGUAUGGCCAAGAGGGAUGUGGUUAGAGAACUAAUGAAGCUCGUGGUACUUUUGGAGUGGGGGUUUGGAAGGAGAUCCUGAAGGAGGCAAGUUGGUGUUGGGAUAACAUUGAGUUCAAGGCGGGGAGGGGGACUAAGGUCAAGUUCUGGACUGACCAUUGGUGCGGCAACGCAGCACUGUCCCAAAAUUUUCCCCAGCUUUAUGCCAUGAUGGUCUUUAGAAACGCAAUGAUCAAUAAAGUGUGGGAUUCAAGCCUUGGUCAAGGAGGGUGAAAUCUCAGAUUGUAUAGAGAUUCUAAUGAUUGGGAACUGGAUUUAAUAGAAGAGCCGCUUCUUUUGCUAAGGGACUUCAGGAUUUCUUCAGAAGAGGACUCAAUGUUAUAGAAAGGAGGGGGUCUUGAUAUUUUUCGGAUUCGGGACGUUUAUAAUUUGCUGGCUGCCCCUAAUCCCCUUGUCUUUCCGAAAAAGAGCAUUUGGGUGGAUAAGGUUCCAACCAAAGUUGCUUUCUUUGCGUGGGAGCUACUUGGGAAAAAAUCCUUAUGUUGGACAGGCUUCAAAAUCGAGGGUGGUAGUUCCCUAAUCGUUGUUAUUUGUGUGGUUGUGAAGAGGAAAAUGUAAAUCACAUUCUUUUACACUGUACAGUGGUCAGGGUCCUCUGGGAGAUCGUCCUUGCCUUGUUUGGGGUUCAGUAGGUGUUCCUAGAGACAGUUAAAGAGGUGUUAUUUUGUUGGAGGGACCCUUUUGUGGGUAAAAAGAGGAAAAAGAUUUGGAAUUCCAUCCCGUUGUGUAUUUUUUGGACGGUUUGGAAGGAAAAAAAUAGGUUAGCUUUUAGAGGGGAUUCGUUAGCUAUUCAGACACUCAAGAAUUUUUUUGUAUGUAGUUUGUGGAGUUGGGCUAGGGUAUAUGAGAGAUGAGUCCUCUUCACUUUUAGGCUUCUUGGAGUGGUUAGCGGCUCCUUAAGGGCUGGUGAGGUUGUUCUGUUUAUGUGUUUUUUGCUUUGUGGCUGCUUUGUAUACUCCCUGUAUGCUUUGUGGCCUUUCGACCUUUUUUAAUAUAUUUUGUGUUCAUCUAUAAAAAAAAAAUAAAAAAUUUCCGCAUGAUUCUAGCCUUAUAAAUGUAAACUAUAAUCUGUCAAAUAAUGUAUGAUAACUGUACAGAAUAAUAAAUGGAGAAAUAAGGAAACAAUUAUGGGCUAAAAUAAGGAAAGAAGUGUGGGCUAAAAUAAGGAAAGAAAUGUGGACAGCAAAGUUGUCCUUUGACAGCCCCCCUCAAAUUGAUGCAAGUUGAUCAACAAGCAUCAAUUUGCUACUUAGCAAGCAAUGUCGAUGACGAGGGAGAGCCUUGGUAAAGAUAUCAACAAUUUGUAAGUCAGUGGAAAUGUGUGGAAGAGUGAUGACACGAGCUUCAAAGGCUUCACGGAUAGAGUGAUAGUUCACUUCAAUAUGCUUUGUGCGCUCAUGAUAGACAGGAUUGGUCGUGAUUUGAAUAGCACUUGUAUUAUCGACAUGUAGAGGUGUAGGAUCGGUCUCAGAAAAAUCUAACUCCGCAAGCAAACCUCGAAGCCAAAUGAUUUCAGAACAAGCAAGAGACAUCGCCCGGUACUCAGAUUCCAUAGAUGAUUUAGAGACUUUGUCUUGCUUUUUACUUUUCCAAGAGAUCAAUGCAUCACCUAAGAACACAUACCAACCAGUGAUGGAGCGAUGGGUAUCCGCACAACCAACUCAAUCAGCAUCACUAUAAGCAGCAAGGCGAGUAGAAUUGCCUGCAGGGAAGAACGAGCCACGAGUAGAAGUGCCUUGAACAUAGCGCAUGAUCCUAUGGACAACAGCCAAAUGAAGAUGACGAGGAGUCUGAAGGAAUUGACUGACUUGCUCUACAAAAAAAGAAAUGUUUGGUCUAGUAAUGGUGAGAUAAACAAGGCUACCCACCAACUUCCUGUAUAAACUGGGAUCAGCAAGUAAGUCGCCCUCCUCUUUGCGAAGCUUGACAUUUAAUUCCAUAGGAGUAUCAACAGAAGUAGCCCCUUGUAGACCAGCUGUAGCCACCAAGUCACUCGCAUACUUAUGUUGAUUGAGGGAAAUACUAGAGGGACUAUGAUGCACCUCAAGACCAAGAAAAUAUGUGAGAGACCCAAGAUCUUUCAUAUGAAAGGACUCGGAGAGAUGUGUUUUGAGCUGACCAAGUAAAGCAAAAUCGGAACCAGUGAUCACAAUAUCAUCAACAUAAACCAAAAGAACAACAAUACCCAUGUCUGAUUUCCGAAGAAACAAGGAAGUGUCAUACUUGCUCUGCCUGAAUGAAAAUUGUAAUAAAAUGGUGCCGAAUUUAUCAAAUCAGACCCUCGGAGCUUGUUUGAGACCAUAAAGAGAGCGACGAAGCUUACACACAUGUGAAGUUGGAGAGGAAAACAAUCUCAGGGGUGACUUCAUAUAAAUACACUCUUUAAGAUCCCCAUGAAGAAAAACAUUUUUUACAUCCAUCUGAUGUAGUAGUGGCCAAUCAUUGGAAGCAGCAAGAGCUAGAAUCAUACGAACAGUAGUCAUUUUAGCCACAGGAGCAAAGGUCUCUUCAUAAUUGAUACCAUAUUCCUGAUUAUUCCCAAGUGCAACAAGCCGAGCUUUGUAACGAUCCAAACUUCCAUCAGAUCGGACCUUGACUGAGUAAACCUAUUUGCAACCCAGAGGAACAAUAGUGGGAGGAAAGGGCUCAAUGUCCCAAGUGUGAUUGGCCUCUAGAGCGGCAAUUUCUUCCUGCAUAGCUUGUCACCAACAAUCAUGCUUGGCAGCAUGUGGGAAUAUCAAAAUUGGACAAUGUAGCAGUAAGAGUUGAAAUAGAAUUUCCAGAACUGGAAGAGGGAAAUCCAUACCUAUUCGGAGGUACAGACACUCGAGGAGAGCGACGUACUAAAGAUGCUGGAGGUGCUGCAACUGACUGAAUUUGGAGUGUGGUAAGAUUAGAUAUCGGGUGAGCCACUGAAAGAGACUGUGGGCGGGAGUGUCUCAUAUACACAAUACCUGGUUGAAAGCGAGAAUUGACUGGAUGAAGAUCUGAGAACUGUUGCUCAAAGGAGGGGAGAACCAUAGUAGAAGAGGAUGACACAGUAGAAGAGGAUACAUGAAAGAAAUGUUGAUUUUCAAAGAAAAUAACAUUCCUAGAAAUACGUGUACGAUGUAAUGUAGGAUCAUAGCAAACAAAUCCCUUUUGACACAUAUUAUAUCCCAACAAAGCACAUCGAACAGAUUGAGUAGAUAAUUUAUGUCGCUCAUGAGGAGGUAAAUGAACAAAGCAUACACAACAAAAAAUACAAAGGUAAUCAUAACUAGGUUGCUUAGCAAAUAAGCGGAAAUAGGGAGACUCCAUAUCUAGGACUUGAGAAGGUAAACGAUUAAUCAAGUGAGUAGCAGUUUUCAGAGCCUCUACCCAAAACAUGGAUGGAACAGAAGAUUCUAACAAGAGAGUACGUAUCACAUCUAGGAGAUGACGAUUUUUACGUUUGACAACUCUAUUUUGUUGAGGAGUAGAGGGACAUGAACGUUGAUGAAUAAUACCCUUAGAAGCCAAUAAUGCUUGAAACUCAAUAGACAAAUACUCACCACCGGAAUCUUUGUGUAAUGUCUUAAUAGAAGUAGAAAAUUGAUUGUCAACAUACGCUAAAAACUCAGUGAAAGUACGAAAGACCUCAAAUUUAGAGCGAAGAAAGUAGACCCAAGUAAAUCUGCUAUGAUCAUCAAUGAAAGUCACAUAAUAUUUAAAUUUCUCAUGUGAACUAACCGAGGAAGGUCCCCAAACAUCACUAUGGAUAAGAUCAAAGCAGUGAGAUGCUCUACUUGCAUGCAAAGGGAAGGGAAGAGUUUUACUUUUACCAAGUUUGCAAGAAUCACACUCAAGAGAUAAAGAAGAACGAUCCUUAUUACCAGGUAAAUCAGAGUUCAAUACAUGAGAUAAGAUCUGAGUAUUGGGAUGACCUAAACGACGAUGCCACACCAUACUAAGAUUUGAAACAUUAUUACAAGCAAAAGACUUAAUAGAAGAAAGUGGAGAAAAAUCUGGAACAGGUAAAAAUAGUGGAAACAAGCGCCCCACUUUAGG